UGGUGGUUUAAUUGGAGCAGCCCAUCAGGCGUUAUUGUACUUAGGAGGGUACCGACUCGUUAUCCUUCCACUGCAUAAAGCGGGAACUGUUCGUUGCUCUGUGAAACCAGCCUCACGCAGUCCGCUCAACUUUAGGAACCCAACAGCCCAUUCCUUCGAUUGGGUAGCAAGGCCCAGCUCUAUGUUUGGACAGGGCAGGCCAGAAAUUAGCCCACCAGGCCCAACCAUCUGGAACAGCCCAACAUUCCACCAUACUAAUGCCCCCGCUUGGGUUACAAGCCCAUGUUACUAAGCUCGGCAAGCAGUAUUGCUUUAUAAAUUCAUAUAACAAAGAAAGAUUACUAUUCAAUAACGAUGUGGGACACAUUUUGUCAAAGCAUAAAUCUAAUUAGUGAAAUACUUACUAUCUUAAGAAAGUCAAAACAUGCAAUUAAUUCUUAAUUUUGCUCUAUAACUAAUAUGUAAAAACAUGAAAUCUAUUAGAGUGUUACAUGAAAAACAUCAGAGAUUAUGGUAGGAAAGGGUAGAAGUUAGAUUGAGAUUAGAUUUUAGUGUUAUAUGAGAGACUAUGGUGCAUCAACAAAAAAGUGGUAAUGGAAAAAUUUCAAGAAAUGACUCAGAUAUCGUGGAAGUAUUUAAUUGAAGGAAUUCUACAAAAUCUCUUCAAAGAUUCUCACUCAUAUUUUCAAUCUUGCAUAAUUUAUGUAUCAAAUUUUCUUUUAGCUAGACAAAUCUGAAAAUGGUGUGAAUGAAUAGUCUUCAGCAGUUUCAAUUCUCACAACAAGGAAAUGAAUUGUCAAAUAAUAGCGUGUAAAUGUCAGAAUAAGCACAAGACUAGACCUCAAAAUGUAAAAUCUAACCACUACACAAAAAAUUAUCUUUCACUAAUUAACGACAAUAACUUAAUUACAGCUAAAUAUGUCCUGGAAAUCUAUAGAAACAUUAAAUCCAACUAUAUAUUAUUGGUAAAAACUUUAGUACUCUUUGUUAAUAUGAAUAUUUUUCGCCGCUAAAGUUGUUUUUAUUGUAGUUAACUCCCAAAAAACUCAAGACUUGAUAAUUCUCAACCUUUUUCUUAUGAGUCCAUCUAAUAUCGUUCCGGCCCAAAAGUACAAGUCGUGAUGACACUUAUAUAUGUUCCCAACAAAUAGGUAGGCUCAUUUAAUAUUAACUAAGUCAAUUCAAUAUAUAAAGUAGAAUGUAAGUGACAAACAAAAUAUCCAAACACUAAGUCUUUUAAAAUGAAAUGCGGAAAAAUAGAAAUACCACACAAGAUUGGUGUUAUAAGUACAAGAACUUCUACUAUACAAUAGAAGUCUGAAACUUAAAUGACAAGUCUAAAUGUAAGAAAAUUUGUGUAUGUUAUUUGUAGUUUUGAUGAUUUGACAAACUGAGUGAUCUUAUGAAGGAACCUGGUUCUUGGAUCAAUAUACUUUUUGGCUGCCAGCUGGAGAAUGUACAAAAGUUGGUGCACAGUCUCCAACAGUGGCAGAAGUGGGAGACGCGCCCUAAUCCUCAGCCAAUGGGACUGUUUUACGUUUUGUGACUUUUCUACAUAUUCAAAACAUCCCUAUAUUAACAAUUAGUUUUUGCAACUUGAAAAAACAUUCAAGAACUCUUGCAAAGGGCUAGAAAAUCAAGGAGAAGAAAUAUUCAACAACAACAGAAGCUCAAGUGAAAAUUUUGUAGUUGUUUGGGAAUACUUUCUUUUGGUCUUACAUUGUAAACCGAUCCUAAAACUAUAAAGGAAUCAGUGUGGUUUCAUCUGAAAUUCUAAGUUAGUUAGUUGAACUAAUUUAGUGGGCAACCUUUGUGUUGCUUAGAAAAUUCUAAAUCAUUAGUAGGUUAGUGGUUUAGUGGGUAGUCUAUGAGAUCGCUUAGAAAAUUCUAAGUUUUCUAUAGUGAUAGCUUAGUGUGAUUGCUUGUUGGUGAGAUUAAAAAUUUUUCUCACAUUUUGUGUAACCGAUUUCCUUUUGCUUGUGAAGAUUAGUCAAACGUUUGUGAAAAUCCUUUGAGACAUGUCAUGGUUUUACUCCCUUGAGUAAGGAGGUUUCCACGUUAAACUCCUCUGUUGUUAAACUGCAUUUACUUUCUACUAUAUCCUUUUUUGUGUGUCAAUGGACCUGGUCCAUUGACUGAUAGUGGAUGCACAAAUUUUAACAAGUGGUAUCAAGCGGGUACUCUCUAUCUGGUUAAUACCAAGAGAGUGAGUCCUGAUCUAGAAUGGCUUCUCCACUCAAUCUGGAAGAGGGUUAGUCUUCAAUUCGACCUCCUCGUUUCAAUGGCCACUUCUAUAGCUGGUGAAAAGUUAGAAUGCAUGACUAUCUUGUGGCUGUAGACAGUGAACUAUGAGACAUUGUCUUGGAUGGACCCUUCAUUCCCAUGAUUGAAGAGAAAGAUGGUGAAAUCACUAGGCUUGUUCCAAAGCCUAGACACAAAUAUGAUGAAGCUGAUAGGAAAAAGAUUGAAAAUGGAUACAAAGCAAAGAAGCUUCUUGUCUGUGGUAUAAGACCUAAUGAGUUCAAUUGUGUCUCAGCUUGUGAAUCUUCAAAGGAGAUCCGAGAUUGCUUAAAAACAGCUCAUGAAGGACCUGAACAAGUAAAAGAGUCAAAGAUUGAUAUGCUUACCUCUUAGUAUGAAAAUUUCAAAAUUAGAGAAGGUGAAGCUAUUCAUGAGAUGUUCACAAAACUGUCAUCAAUCACAAAUGAGUUAAGAAGUCUUGGAGAACCUAUCAAUAUGAGCAAGAAGGUCAGGAUAGUGCUUCAAAUUCUUCCCAAAUCUUGGGAAAGUAAAGUAGAUGCCAUCACUGAAGCUAAGGAUUUGAAAGUGUUAAUAAUGGAUGAUCUCAUUUGAAAUCUAAAGACCCAUGAAAUGAACCAAAGUUAUGAUCAGUCAAAGAAGGAAGUCAAGAAAGGUAAGUCCUUGAUGCUAAAAUACAGAUCUGAAGAGGACUCCAAUGAUGUUGAUGAUAUGGCCUAUAUUAUCAAGUGGUUUCAAUAGAUUGUGAGGAAAAACAAAGGCUUUAGAAAGGGAGCAAAUGUUCCACGAACUACCACUCAAAAUGAUACCUGUCAAAAGUGUGGAAAGGCUGGACAUUUUAUAAGAGAGUGUCCCUUACUCAAAGCUGAAAACAAAGAAUAUCAAAGACCAAGAGGUGAUAAAGAAAAGCGCAGGGACAUAGUACUCGAUAAAAAUGAUAGAAAAGUUGCUACUGACUAUGUGGUAAAGAAAGCCCUUGCUGCAUGGGGUGAUUUUUUGAGUGAUUCAAAAGACCCUGAUGAACCAAAUGAUGUGUCAAUGGUGGUGGUUCAUGAGGAUGAAACCAUAUUCAGUGAGUUGUUUGAUUUCAUGGCUCAUUCAGAGAAUGAAGAUGAUGACUCUUCUUGAUUUGAAACAUGAUCUGAAUACCUUUUCUCUUAGAAAAUUGAGAACAUUAGCAAAUUUUAUGAUUGAUUCAGUGAUUGAGUUAACUUCUGAAAGAGAUACUAUGAAUGCUGAGUGUGAAAGUUUAAAUGAAAACAGAGAUAAAAUGGUUGACAAAAUGUUGAAAAUUGAAGGCAAAAUGAUUGUUCUAGAAACUGAAAAACUAGAACUCAAAAAUCAAUUGUAUCUGAUGACCAAGAAGUCUAAAAAACUUAAAGGAAGGUCUACUAGUUUACAUGUGGAGCUGGAGGAAAAAAUUGAAAAACACUGAGACUAACUUUGUCUUAGCCUUGGAAAAGAACAAAAGCUUAGAGAGAAAUUUUUUUUAAAACUUAGGGAUGACCUUGCAAAUUCUCUUAGAUGGACAAAAUCUUCUAAGUUGCUUUCAAAUGUGACAAAUCAAAGAAACUACAACAAAAGGGGUUUAGGAAGCUUGAAUAGUACUCCUCCUUUGAAUACUCACAACAAAUAUGUUUUUGUGUCAGAUAAUUUGUUGUGUCAUUAUUGUGGUAGGAAUGGACAUUUAAAAAGGGAAUGUUCAGCCUGGAGAGAGUCACAUGAAAGAUUUUCAAAUUAUACAGAAAAGAAAAGGAUUUCAAAAGGGGGACCUGGUCCUGUCCAAAAGCCCUUGUCAAAAAGAGUCUACAAUUACCUCAAUGGGCAAGAAACACUUUGAUUACUCCUUUAUCUACCUUCUGGGAACUUAAAUUGAAAUAGCUUCCCAAGUCUAAUAAGUGAUUCUUGCUGCAGGUGAGUGAGAGGAGGAUCAGUCAAUGUUGGUAAAUGGAUAAUGGAUUCUCCAAACAUACGACUCGAUAUACAAAAAACUUCCUGUUGCUCAAGUUGCUUCAAGGUGGAGGUGUGUAUUUUGGUGAUGGAAAGAAGGGGUAUAUUUUAGGUGUUGAUAAAGUGAAAAAAUCUUGUGGAAUCCAUUGACAAUGUGUACCAUGUUAGUGGGCUGAAGUACAAAGGGAAUGAAGUAAAGUUUACAUCUGAGGAGUGCACUGUACUGAAUAUCACUACAAAGAAAGUGAUUCUCACAGCUCAAAGGUGUAAAAACAUGUAUGUGGAAAACUUAGAAACGUCUCGUGGAGAUGAUCUUACAUGUCUAAGUUCUCAAAAUGAAAAUAUUGAUGUGUGGCAUCAGAGACUAGGUCAUGUGAGCUCAUCUCUAUUGAAUAAGUUGAUAUCUAAGGACCUGAUACUAGAUCUGCCAAAGCUGAAAUUUUGUGAAAGUAAAAUCUGUGAAGCAUAUGUCGAAGGAAAACAUGCAGGUAACUCAGGUGGUGUAACUCAGGUGCAGGUACCAGUUUAACUCAAGGAAAACAUAUAGGUACCAGUGUAACUCAAGGACCUUGUAAAGGUACCUGGUCCAUGGUGUAGGAAACAAAGGAGUGUGUCUACUCGACAGGGGGAAGAAAUGCAGGUAUUGGUGUAUGGUUUGUCACCAUCAAAAAGGGGGAAAAUGCUAUAUUGAUAUUUUAAUGAGUUGAAAACUUCAAGAUGAUGAAACUCCAGUUACCCCAAGAAUUCUUGUUGAUAGGGGAACUGGUGAAUAUGCUUGUCAUCAUCAAAAAGGGGAAAAAUGUUAUUUGUAGUGUUGAUGAUUUGACAAACUGAGGGACCUUAUGAAGGAACCUGGUUCUUGGCUCAAUAUUCUUUUUGGCUGCCAGCUGGAGAAUGUACAAAAAGUUGGUGCACAAUCUCCAACAGUGGCAGACGCGCCAGAAUCCUCAGCCAAUGGGAUUGUUUUACGUUUUGUGACCUUUCUACUUAAACAAAACAUCCCCAUAUUCACAAUUAGUUUUUGCAACUUGAAAAAGCACAUACAAGAACUCUUUUAAAGGCCUAAAAAAUCAGGAAGAAUAAAUAUUCAACAACAACAGAAGCUCAAGUGAACAUUGUGUAGUUGUUUGGGAAUACUUUCUUUAGGUUUUACAUUGUAAACUGAUCCUAAAACUAUAAAGGAAUCAGUGUGGUUUGAUAUGAAAUUCUAAGUUAGUUAGUUGAACUAAUUUAGUGGGCAACCUUUGUGUUGCUUAGAAAAUUAUAAAUCAUUAGUAGGUAAGUGGCUUAAUGGGCAGUCUAUGAGAUUGCUUAGAAAAUUUUAAGUUGUCUAGAGUGAUAGCUUUGUGGGUAGAGUAACAUCUACUUAGGCUCAUCAAGCAAUAGAAUUAUUGCUCGUUGGUGAGAUUAAAAACUUUUUCUCACAUUUUGUGUAACCGAUUUCCUUUUGCUUUUGAAGAUUAGUAAAACGGUUGUGAAAAUCCUGCGAGACAGGUCGUGGUUUUACUCCCUUGAGCAAGGAAGUUUCCGCGUAAAAAUCCUCUAUUGUUAAACUGCAUUUAAUUUUUGCUAUAUCCUUAUUUGUGUGUCAAUGGUCCUGGUCCAUUGAAUGAUAGUGGAUACACAUAUUCUAACAGUGUACACGGUGCACAUACUAAAAAAUUAUUCCAUUACAUAUGACGUGCACGUUGUGGUUUUGAAUUUCUUACUACGGAAAAUGGAAGGAGAAGCUUUGAGGAAACACAUCAACUUUUUGUCGACUUUGCUCUCCUUUAUGGAAUCAAUGGUUUUUUUUGCUCAAUGCACAUCCUUACCAUAGAUGUAACACAAGCGAACAACAGUUUUGUAAAAGCAAUUCAAUUUCUGAGCACUCAUAACAAUUGAUCGCGACAUACUUGAGGUUGUUGAGUUGUAGGUCCAAGCAAGUAAUUGUGUCUGUCAAGGUCUUUUGAUACCGUUUUAGUAUUGUUACAAGAAGAAUAUACCUGAUGGUAUAAAAUAAAUAUAGAAUUAAUUAUAAUUUCUCGUGCUUACAUAGACAUACCACAUAAACCUAUCUUACUUAGUGGAUGCAUUCCAGGACAAAAAAACAUAGAGAGGAGCGGAACCGGUAUUCAAAUUGGCAGUCACAACUACAAAGAAGUACAUAUAUCAAGUUAUGAUUACAUUAUAAUUUUCUAUACUUAAAAAAAUCUGAAUUAUGCUCAAAUUGGGGCAACUCUUAAUCAACUGUAGAGCGCAAGUAGUCAGAUGUAGUUUUCUCAAGUCUAUUCCUAAUGAGAGCUUUUGCAAGCUCUCAAAAGGACCCCACUUAGAAAUUGUGUCAGCCGUCAAAAGCUUCAGAGCAACAAAAAAUAGAAUUACCUGAAUACAAAUCCUAUAAGAUAUACAAGUAUAACAAUAUGUCAUAUGCUUACCUCGUGGCAACUUAAACCAAUUUGGAGAAACUCAAGUGUAGCUGCUACGCUUAAAAGAAGCUUUCCCAAAAGUUGAUUUUUCGUCCUGUUUUGAAUUUGGAUCGCAAUCCAGCACUACGUCUAUUUCAAGUUGUAACUUUCUCAAGCCUUUGCAGCUCAUAAAGAGAUUUAGAUCGAGAAAGGGACAACCAUGAACAACCAAGUGUUCCAAUUGUGAUGAGACAACAAUGUUCAGGUAUUGAGUGCCACAACAGUCCACCAAGGCGAAAUUGACAAGAAUAGGAUAACUGAUAGCAUAAAACUCAGUGGUUCUUACAAAGGUUAUCUUUUGCAGACGAAGGUCUAUUAGAUGCUUGAAAGCAACAAAGGUCUUUGGUGGUUUAAACACUUAUAGAGUUCCAAAUGUGUCAGAGUUGGAAAAUUAAGUACACAGGACGACACUUUAUAAGUGCAAUUAUCUGGCAUGUAAAGGCAUAAAUCCUUCACACCUUUUCUAGUGACAUAAGCCAAUCAUCCAUCAGUAUGUGCAUAUAAAGACGAAUAUAUUGAUUUUACAAGAUGAAACUUCUCAAUAUCUCUAAGAUGUUGUAACAGAAUUGUAUUCACUCUUUCUUUGAAAAAUUGUUGAGUUGUUAAAUACAUCUAAAAGGCCCUGCUCAGCCACAGAUUUGGAAGCCUAGCCCGAAUGUAUCUCCAUUUUUUUGACAAAAUACUGGUUUUUGCUGUGUCUUCAACAAGGUGAAGCUCUAUGAUACGAUGCAUAACAUUUCCUGGCAGUUUACUGAUCCUAUCUUCUCUUUCCCCUUCACCAACAACUGUUUUAGCAUCUGCAAGGAGAAUGAAUAAUUUUAUGGCAUGUUUGGUUAAAUGUAUUGGAAAAAAUAAUCACAGUACUAGAGAGUACAUUUAUUGCGAAAAUUUAGUUAUACAUGGAUAACAUAUUUAACAUGACAAUAAUUUUUCUAAAUGCAUUCAAGUUUUUCAUAUAUUGCCAAAUAAAAUAAAAUCUCAUUGCAUCCACCAAACGAGAACACAUCUAUAUACAAUAAUUCCAAGACUUUUAUGAAAAAAACAAAUCACGUAAAUGUUGUCUCAAACAUGUUAUUUUUCUUAAAAAACUAACACUUGUAUGGUUAUUAUUUGUAAAUCCGCUAAAAACUUAUUUUAGUUGCUAUUGUAAGCAUUUUCAUUCCAAAACUCACAUUAGUUUCUUGAAUCAAUUAAAGUACAACAUAAAAGAUAUACAAAGGCAUCAAAUAGUAUAGAUAUUAUUUUACCAUCAUGGAUCUCGAUAAAAAUGAAGGUAUCAUUUUAAUUAGAAACUAAACCUUAAUGCAAUCGAAAGAACAUAAAUACUGGAAAUCAAUUAUUUCAUGCUGGUGUCACCACUUGCCUAAAUUGACUUCCAAUAGUUGCAUCUUUGUGCCAAAGUAUUCAAUUUUUUGAAGACUUAAUGCCGUUCAUUAUUUAUGAUUCUUGUUUCUCGCUUGAUGUUCGUAGCACAAAAAUGAAAACCCUACAAUUUUAAUGUGAAACAAAUUUGUAGACGUAUAUCACUCAGUUGGUUAUUAGAGAAUCAUACAGAUAUCACUCAAUUGGUUAUAUCCUUUUAUUGAAUUUGAUUCUCUCUCUCUUUCCUUUUCUUGACAUACAAAAAGUAUAAGAUGAACCAAUGUAGAGUUGAUUUGUUUGACUUUUUUGGUCCAACAACCUAUAUCUAUAUAUAAUAAUAAAAAUCUAAACAUAUACAAGAUGGUGUGACACUUUCCUAUGGCCAAUAAUAUUAUUUAUCUUUUUUUAAUCAUUUUUAAUUUUUUCUUCCUAAUAUGAUGUCUACAAAAUUUGUUAAAUUUUUGUUUCAAAUAUUUCUUGUUUAUUCCAUUCCUUAUUAUACAAGGUGAUGUGGCACAUCUUUAUAGCCAAUAUUACUAUUUAUUUUUUCUCUCAUUUUCUGGACUUCUUUCCUUAUAUGAUAUCUUGAAAAGCUAUUUAAAACACCUUAUUAUCGAGAAUAUCAUCUAUUUUCUUAUUAAGAGUAUCAUUUACUCAUUUCUGUAUUAAGAAUCUCAUUUAUUUCCUUUACACCCGCAAUCUUUCUCCACUCUCGAUGAGUAUCAAUAUACGGAUAUAUAUAUAUAUAUAUAUAUAUAUAUAUAUAUAUAUAGAAAGAGAGAGAGAGAGAGAUAGAGAUAGAGAGAUGUGACACUUUUUUACAACCAUCAUUGUUAUUUAUCUUUUUCUCACUUUUAAAUUUCUUUUCCUUAUAUAAUGUCUAGAAUAUUUGUUAAAAAAUUUAAAUACACCCUAUUUAUUUUAUUCCUUAUCAUUAAGAAUAUUUUAUUUCCUUAUUAAGAUAAUUGAUUAUUUAUUUUCUUGAUAAAAAUAUCAUUUACUUCCUUACACUCACGUUCUUUCGCCACUCCUAAUGUGUAUCAAUAUUUAGAGUAUGUUUGACAUUGUUGUUGGAAGGCCAAUAAAACUUCUUUUGGAAAAUAAGAUGUUGGAAAAAUCAAUAAAACUACUUUUAAGUGGAACCGGAACCAACUUCUCUUGUCAUAUCGCAUUUCUUGUGAUUUGGUUUUUAAUAAUGAAAUGACCAUUUUGUCCUUUCCUGCAGUGUUUCAUGCUUAGUUUGUAUUUCACGAAUGUUUGAUGUGGUUCCCGAUUCGAUCAAGUGUCUUUUUGGUGAUUUGACCCCUCUUGAGUUGAGAAUUCAUGAUAGGGUUGACCUCGGCCAACAUUUUGAGUUACGAGCGUCAGAUAGGAAUUUCGUUACUAACAUCGCGUAGAAACGUCGAGUUUGAGUUAGUAGGAUUGUCACGACCAGAGCCUACACCUUGGAUGUGGUGUCACGAUCCAAAUUCACAAGUCGUGAUGACACCUAUGUUCCCAACCAAUAGAUAAGUCAACUUUACAUAUUUUACCAAUUUAAACUAACUAAUAAUGUAAAAGGUAAACAACAAGUAAAAAUCUCCAACACUAAGUUCUUUAUAAAUACAAAAUGUGGAAGCUAAAUAUACCACCCAAGCAUUGGUGUCAUAAGUACAAGAGUUUCUAAAUAUGAUACAAACUAAUAACAAACCUAAACAUAAGAUAAACCGAAAAGGGCCUAAAAUACCCUUGAAGUAUCAUAAAUGGUACAAAAUUACCUUCCAUCCACCUAUUCACUCAAAAAUACCCUUUUCAUCCACCUAUUGACUCUAAAAUACCCUUCACAUCCACGUUUAGGCUCAAAAUUAACCACUUAUUUAACGAUUUUAAAUUUAAACUAUUUAAAUGUUUUUUAAUACACGGUGCUUAACUAUUUGCUAUAAUUUAACUUAUUAAUAUAAUUUGGUAGCCAUUCUACUACCCAACCAUUACUAAUUAGACCAUACACAAUUAAUAAAUUCGUCCCAUUAUUAAUAUACAACUGGAAAAUUACUACCAAUGAAUGUUUCUAAAAAUUUAAGGCGAAAAUGUCUAUAAAAGUAUAUUAUCAGACAUUCAAGUCGUCAAUCAACACAUAAUAUAAUUAAAAUGUCCAAAUAAAAAUUAUCGAUAAUCAUAAAAGUCUACUAUGUUCAUCUUAAUUAUUCUCUCGCCUCAAUUAUGUAAUGUUACUUAAUAGUAAUUUUUUUAAAAAUAAUAUAUUAAAGUUUUAAUAGUUAAAACAAAUAAUAAAUAUUUAUAAAAUUAUAUUUUAAAAAGUGCAUAAAUUAAAUUGAGAGGUGCUACUUCUUUACCUUUAAUCAUAAAUUUUGAAUUCAAGCUUGAAACAUAAUCCUAUUGAAAGUGUCCUCCUAAAUAAGAGGCUCAACCUAAAUUUAAUUGGGGAUUCAAUUUGGACUCAAAUAAUUUUGAAUGUCAUUUUCAGGAAUCGGUAAUUGUCAUGCUUUAGUAAUGUUUAUGGCGAUUUUGAUAUUAUAAAUGGUAUAUUAAUUGGUGGAGCUUGAUUAGUAAUGGGUGGGUAGUGGGUUGAUAUAUAAAUGAUAUAAAUAAAUUAAAUUAUAUCCAAUAAUUGAGAGCCAAAUAUUUUUAAAAAUAUUUAAAUAGUUUAAAUAUGAAACUGUUAAAUAAAUGGUCAAUUUUGAACCCAAAGGUGGAUGACAAGGGUAUUUUUGAGCCAAUAUGUGUGUGGAAAGGGUAUUUUGGAGCCAAUAGAUGGAUGGAGGGUAGUUUUGUACCAUUUCCAAUACUUCGAGGAUAUUUUAGGCCCUUUUUCGUAAGAUAAAUCUUGUCUGAAUGCUAAAACAACAGAAUAAAUAAAAGAUAUACGUGUACCUAGUAUAUCACAUAGACUUACAACAAAGAAGUAGUGACGAGAAUUUAUAUAUGAAAAAAACAAUUCUUUACUUAUACAAGUCUAUAUUACACUUACCAGUCAUGUUUCAUCAAUAAAGAAUCAAACUUCACGUAAUGUAUAACCACCAAUUAAAUACAUAAUCAACAAGAAUAAACAAUAUAAUGAGAUGCAAUGCAAUGUGACACCAUGAAAUGCUAUGCCUCAGAUGCCAAGCAGUAUCUCACCAUAUAUAUAUGAUACUCCUCGGAAUUACAUCGAGAGUUCAUGAUCCAUGGGGGACUUGUGAGGUCCAUAUACAGACAUAGACGAUCUCCACAUGUCUAUGCGGACGAUCUCAACGCACUAUCAUAAAAUCAAUAACUUCCACACGGACGGUCUCCACGUGCCUAAAUUAUAAUCUUAACAUCUCACUAUCCUCAGUACGGACGAUCUCCACGUGCUCGACUUAUACUCGAACUCAUGCCGAUGCAUGUGCCCAAUAUGAUUUCACAUAAAGGGGAUGAUGGUGCAUGUCAAUUAAUCAAAUAUAAAAAUAAUGCAUAACCACCUCAACUAUCACAACUAUACGAGUUCAAAUAAGAACACAAUCACACAUAAUAAAGUAUUCAUAUAUCAGCUAAUGCCCAUAUUCUUUGGCUUUCUCGAUUACAAUCCGCAUACUAUUGUAAUAAAUUUUCCCUUAAUAACAUGGUACUCGUACCAAUGCCCGUCGUACCAUUGAUACGAACCCCCCAUCUUUCGCCUGACCCAUUGUCUAUUCCACUUUUAGUCUUUUAAUUAGGAAAACGUUCUCCAACGAAGUCUGAAAGUCUUAACAUACCUUAAAUGCAUAACCCCUACCAUAAUUCUCAAGAUUUUUCCUUCCCCUUUCGCAAAGUUUCGGAACGUUCCCCAUCUACCAAUUAUGCAAUAUUCAUAAGUAACCAAAUUUGAUAGGCACUCACAUUACUUUACUUCUAACCUAAAAAAACUCAUCACGUUGCUAUAAUCAAGCUCCUAAUUUCGUGCUUAUUAAUAUGUCACAUCUUGUAUUCCAAAAUUUUAAGUCUAAGAUUAAGUCUAAAUUUAUAAAAUAUACCUUAUUCGUAUGUAAAAGGAUUCACUACACAUCCCACUAAAAGAAACAAUGGAUCUAAAAGCUGCUCACUGUUUCUGUACCAGCACUUUUUGUAUUAUUGCUAAGCUAGCAACAUAUUCACUUUUUUUAGUAUAAUGCUCAUUUAUGAAAAAUUUCUGUUAUAAUAAAACUCAAAUUCACAUAUAAGUUGAUCUGUGAAUAGCUUAGCAUAUGUGAACUCUGAAAUGAAGACAUCGACUAUGGAAUAAACACUAAAAAAAAUCUUAAAGUAUAUGCCUAAAUCUAUUGGACCAUCUCACACCAACAUUAAUGUUAAACAACUUCGGAGCAAUUAAUUUAUUUACAGAAUUUUAAUCCACAUGCAUUAUCCCACUCAAAUGAUCACAGUAGGAAUUAUCUCAUGACUAACCAUUAUUAACUGUAUAAAGAUUCUCACUAUAGUCAAAAAGAGUUCCAUAAAAAUCGAUAAUUUCCAACUAAAAUAGCAUUCCAAUUCCCUCCCAUUAAAUAGCAAUAAAAUUAAAGUAUACCCAGUAAACCACUAUUCAUAACUCAUAUUUAAACCAAUUGUUGAGAUAUUUAAUGCUUAAUAUUACUACAACAGUCAAUUGAAUGUGGUCGAUUGAGAUUAAGUUAUUGCCAUUUGAAGUGAUUCAAAACUUAAAAGAAUUAAGGAAUGACUAAAAUGAAUUAUCUUUUAUUCUUAGAGCUGUCAAUAUGGGCUAGCCCACCCAAUCCGAGCUAAUCCAUAUAGACUUUGACAUUUUACAGGUCAGGCCGAGCUAGCCCAAUUUUGCUUGGGCCAGAAAAUGGUAGGCCCAACCCAUAAGUACGUGCGCUACAGGCUUGACGUGCCAGCCCACUUUUCUUAAAAAAAUAUUUUUUAUAAUUAUUAAAUUAAAUUUUAAAUUAUAAUUUGAAAUAUUAUCAUAAAUAUCGACAAAACAAUAUUGCAUGAUGUUAAUGUUAGUACUUGUUUAUCAAAUCAAAAUAAAAUUAUUUUUUAAUAUUUAUUAUGGAUAAUUUCAGAGACCUCCAUGUUCGCUUUAUAACACUCAUCUCCCCUUUGGUUUAUGAUAUUACGUCUACCUCCCUUGUUUUCAUUUACUUGUAACCAUUCAUUAAACCUAUUUUAAAUAAAUAUAAAUUAAUAUAGAUUUGACAAUUUUACUCUUUUUUAUAUAAAUUUCUUCUUUUUAAAUAAAUUUAUAUAUAAAAAAAACUCAUUUAGAAUAUACUUUAAAAAUAAAUUAACACAAAGACUUGUUUUUUUAAUCCAACAACAAAGAUCAAAGUCUUCAACUAAGCUGACCCACAUUUUCACCAAAUAUCAACUCUUUAUCGCUAUUUCACCUUUACCAAUUCAUGUAAAUUUCCCCCCCCCCCACAAUAACCCAUCAUUUUCCGGCAAUAAUUUCUUAAAAUAUAAGACAAAAUUGAACUUCCUAAUUAAGAAAUUCGAUAAGAAUGAUAAGAUUUUGUUCUAGUUAAACAUUUGCACAAGCGAAGAAGAAACACGAUACAACGAAUAAAGAUAAAUAAUUGAAAAUUAGACCUAAACAUUCAUAGAUAAGGGUAAAUUUAUAAAAUCUAAAUUAAUUUAUAUUUAUUUAAAUAGGUUUAAAGAAUGUUUACAAGAAAAAGAAAAUAAGGGAGGUAGACGUAAUAUCGUAAACUACAGGGAGGGUGAGUGUUAUAGCGCGAAGCCUAGAGGGAGGUCUUUGAAAUUAUCUCUAUUUAUUAAGUUUUUUUAAAGUUAAAGUAUAAAUAUAUAAAUAAAAAUAUUAACCUAAUUAUUUUGAAUUUUAACUCUCUUUAAUUUUAAAUUUUUAUAUUAUAUUAUAUUUUUUAAUUAAUUAUUAUUGGCCCAGGGGCCGGCCCUACCUAUAUUUCUCAAGCCCAUCAAAUCAACAGGCUUAUUCAGGCCGGACUAAAAAGUCCUUUUCUUAGAUGGGCUCCAAAAAUCUUAGCCAAACCCUAUUAAAUCCCGGGAUUGGCCAGGACAACCUAACAGACAUAGCCCAUAUUGACGGAUCUAUCGAUUCUUUUUGAAACUCAAGAUGCUAUAUCUAGUGACCUGACAUUAAUAAUUAACAAAUUUUAAAUUCCUUGGUAAAGUCCUACUCACAAUGAAGGAUGAAUUGAGUCUUAGUUCAAAAAUAUUCUGGGGUGUUAUAAUAUCUUCCCUUUGGGAUCAUUCAUCCUCGAAUGACGGCUGGACUGGGUAUGGAACAAGAGAACUGUUAUCGUCUCUGCAAUACCAACUAGAUUUGCCUGCAUUACUAUUCGAAACCAUCUAAGGGAUCCGAUAUAGCUAUUUCUCAUAGUAACCUCAUUCUCUUCUUCCUACUCAUUUAUAACUUUAGACAUAAUUAUCACACCAAAAGAAUAGGCAGGGAGGUGUAAUGGGGUAAUAGAGAUCAAUCUUCUUCAGCAGCUCUGCCAAAUAGAGUUGUACCUAGAGUAGUCACUUUAGGGACAUAGUAAGGAGCAAAUCAUCUCUGUGUUAUCACCAGUCUCCAAGAGCAAGAGAAUUCACCAAAUGAUGUCACUAGUAUGGUAAAAGUCUUUAAUUUUGAUGUAUAUGCACUGCUAGAUCCAACUGCGAGUUUUUCUUUUGUGACUCCUUAUGUUGUGAUGAGGUUUGAUAUUAUUCCAAAACAACUUCUUGAACCUUUUAAUGUUUCUACACCUGUUGGUGAAUCUAUUAUAGCUGAGAGAGUUUAUCAUGAUUGUACCAUAUCUAUCAAUCACAAGGACACUAUAGUUGACUUAGUUGAGUUAGCCAUGGUAGAUUUGGAUAUUAUUCUAGGUAUGGACUGACUUUAUGCUUGUUAUGCCUCAGUUGAUAGUAGAACUCAACUAGUUAAGUUCUAGUUUCCUAAUGAUGCUAUAGAGUGGAGGAGUAGUUCAAUAAUUCCUAAGGUCAUUUUAUUUGGUUCCUUAAGGCGAGAAAGUUAGUUUCCGAGGGGUACAUCUAUCACUUAGUCCAAAAUAAUGACUCUAGUGUUGAGGCACCACAUAUUCAUUCAGUUCUAGUUGUGAGAUAGAUUCCAGAGGUCUUUCCAAAUGAUCUUUCCGAAGUCCCUCCUAAGAGAUAAAUGAACUUUGGUAAAGAUAUUCUUCUUGAUACUCAUCCCAUCUCUAUUCCGCCAUAUAGAAUGGCUCCAACUAAGUUGAAAAAGUUAAAAAAAUAGUUAAAAGACUUUUUGAGAAAGGUUUCAUUUGAUCAAGUGUCUCAUGUUAAGGAGCUCCAGUCUCAUUUGUGAGAAGAAAGAUGGUUCUCUUAGAAUGUAUAUUGAUUACCGACAAUAGAAAAGGUUACUAUAAAGAAUAAGUAUCCUAUUUGAGAAUUGAUGAUGUUUUUAAUAAUCUAUAGGGUGUACUUGUUUUUUCUAAGGUAGAUAUCAGAUUAGGCUAUCAUCAGUUGAGAGUAAGUGAGAAUGAUAUUCCAAAGACAACUUUUGGUUUGAUGAAUGUUACUGCACCGUUCAUGGGUCUUAUGAACAUAGUGUUUUGAGCCCCAUCUUGAUAUGUUUGUUAUCAUUUUCAUUGAUGACAUUCUUAUUUAUCAAAUAAUGAGAAGGAUCAUGCUAGUCAUUUCAGAUUUGUUCUCCAGUCUCUCCGAGAUAGAGAGUUGUAUGUCAAAUUUUAUAAGUGUGAGUUUUGGCUUGAGCUAGUGGUAUUCUUGGGCCACAUCUUUUCUGGUGAUGGGAUUCGAGUUGACUCUGAGAAGAUUGAAGCACUGUAUUGGCCUAGACCCAUAUCUCCAACUGAUAUUAAGAGUUUCUUCAAAUUGGAUGGUUACUAUAAGAGGUUAGUCGAGGGGUAUUCAUCUAUUCCAUACCCGUUGACUAACCUGACUUUGAUAAAAGUUAAGUUUUAAUGGUCUGAAGUUCGUGAGAAUAGCUUCCAAGAAUUAAAGACUAGGUUGACUACUUCCCAGUGUUAACCUUACCAGAAGGCACGCAAUGUUUUGUUGCUUAUUGUGAUGCGUUCAGAGUUGGAAUGGGUUGUGCAUUGAUGCAAAAUGGAAAAUUAAUAACUUAUGCCUCCAGACAGCUUAAGAUUCACGAGGACAAUUACCCAUACCAUGAUCUAGAGUUUGUUGUUGUAGUGUUCACUUUGAAAAUAUGGUGUCACUAUCUUAAUGGUGUUUGUAAAGAUGUGUUCACUGAUAAGAAGAUCCUUCAUAAUGUAUUCCGUCAGAAAGAGAUUAAUCUAAUACAUAUCAGGCGGUUUGAGUUACUCAAGGAUUAUGACAUGAGUAUUCUAUAUCAGUCAAGUGAGGCUAAUGUUGUCGUUGAUGCUUUGAACAUAUUGUCUAUUGGUAGUACCAUCCAUUUUGAGUAAGGCAAUAAAUAAUUAGUCAAAGAUGUGUACAUAUUUGCACGAUUCGGAGUCAAGUUAAUGGAUUAUAAUAAAGGAGGAAUGAUGCUGAUGAAUGGGGAUGAAUCAUCAUUAAUGUACGAAAUGAAAAAGAAAUAAGACCAAGACCUAAGUUUGCUUGAAUUGAAGGUAAAUGUUCAUAAUAAUAAAGUGAUGGCUUUUGAACAAGGGAAAAUAGAGUGUUGAAGUAUCAAGGUAAAUUGUAUGUACAAAAGGCACAUGAACUACAAGACAUGAUCAUGGAGGAAGCUCAGAGAUCCAAAUAUUAUAUUCAUCUUGGGUCCACAAAGAUGUAUCAUCACUUGAGAGAAGUCUAUUGGUGGAGUAGUAUGAAGAGGAUAUUUAAGAGUUCAUUUCUAAGUGCCCGAAUUUCCAAAUAUUCAAGGUAGAGCACUAGAGGUCCAGUGAUAUGGCUUAGAAUAUAAAUCUUGUGAAAUGGAAGUGGGAGCCGAUCAAUAUGGAUUUUAUUACUGGUUUACUAUGGUCUCCCAGGCAACAUGAAUCUAUUUGAGUGAUUGUAGAUCAAAUGAAUAAAUUGAAACACCUCAGAUCUCAAAAUGAAUAAAAUUCUACUUUUUAAAAAAAUCUCGUGACAGUACCAACGGAACCAUCCACGGAUCAUAGGUAGGACCACUAAUCAUAGGUGGGGUUCCGUCAUUAAUGACUAUAACCUUAUAGUCUCUGAUUCCACCACGGUCUACCAAUAUGGUCUAUGGUAGGACCUAAGGACCGUAGGUCUGACUGUAGGUGAGGGUGAAUAACCACUUAGAGGGAAUUUGUUAUUAGUCCAACUUCAAACUAUCACAACUCUUAGAACAAAAAGACUUAGGUAGAAAAUAACCUACCAAAUGAAAUAUAAUUGAAUCUUUUUUCCAACGCCGUCGAGUUUGAUAAAAUUUCAUCUCUGAUUAAAAGUUAUUCUCAUUUUAGUGAAGCCCUAUUGAGCAAACUUCACUGACGACCCUACCUAUGGCUGGUAAUUCAACCCAUGGACCAUAGGUACCUCUGUUGGUGGCCUUCGACAUAGUUAAGUCAGUCAUUUUAGUCAUUUUGUUUAUGUUUUGGUCACUUAAACUACAUCGUUUGAUCCUUAAACAACGUAGUUUUGGUCAGUUAAAGCCUAGUAACUUAGUCAGAUCUUUUGCUAAGUGAUGCCUUCACUAAAUAUUCAUCAAACUUAGAACAAAAGAGGAGAAAAGUGUCACCCUAAACCCUUCCAAAUGUAGAAGAUAUUCUCCAGUACCAGCCCCGAAAUCGAAAGAUUUCUUUGUGAAUUUCGUCACCAGGUUUGUGGAAUUUCACUAGUAGGUUCCUUUCAUCCACUAGGUCUCUAGAAUUCAGUCAGAUUCUUAACUCUUAUAUACUUUUUAGACCUUGGGUUUCUAUAACCUUAGAGAUUGAUUGUUAUUUAGCUGUUAUAGAAGUUCUAAUUGAAUUAUCAUGUUCUUGUGGAAUCAUUGCUUAGUUCUUUGCAUGAAACAUAGAAUCCUAGUUGUGUCGAUUAGUUAGUUCAUGAAUUAUACUAGCUAGGUCAGUUAAAUAGAUAUUUAUGCCUUAGAUUUUGAAUGUUUCAUUUCCAGUACAUUAAUGUUGCAUUGUUAUAUUUGCUUGUUCGAAUAUCGAGCUAUCUAGUGUUUCAUUUCUGUUGUGUUAUAUAUAUUUCAAGUUGGGAGUAAGCUUAGGACCAAGUUGGACUAGGGUUCACCAUAUCCUCAUAACCCUAGAACUACAUGCCCAAAGGAGCCUAAGUCCUCUCGGUGGGUAUCAAAUUUAGUGAUCACGCCGGUCAUGAAUUUAUACCCCAUGCAAGGUAUAUUGGGUCCACUAGAUGAGACAUAUACAUCGUACACCAAAGUUAGGUAGCGUGGUGGUUAUGUUCGUUAAUAGUAUCUCCUAUAGUCACUCUCUAGUGCAUUCGCCUAGGUUUUCAGUUUUACUUCAGUAUUAAGUCUCAUAAUGCUACAUACUUAGUCAUUGCAUUCAAUUUAGUUUUAUUCAGUAUGUAUAAGUGAUUCCAUUACGUUUAGAUUGCAUCAUUGCUUAGUUAUGCUUUGUUCAACUUUUAUCCUAUCACACAUGCUCAAUAUCUUUCAAUUACUUACUCACGCUUUGCGCUUUAUCUUUUCAUGAUUUAGGUUUAGGUCUUCUACAUACUCUACGCUAGAUCUCCCAAACAAAGUUAUUUUUAUAUCUUUACAUACAAACUGAGUUAUUAUUGUAUUUUAAAUACAUUGAGUUGUUUUCUACUAUUUUGAAAACUUUCUUUAUAUUGCAUCUCUAUUGUUGCUUUUUAUACUGAAAUGAGUUGAGUUGACGUGAGUUUGUUCUACUUUUUAUCAAUUUAAGCUUGCAAGUUAUGUUUAGUGUUUCCCUUUUAUGCUCGUUUAUUACGUGAACUGACAUCAUUUUACCUAUAUUCUUUAUGUGCAGAUAUGGAUAGCCAGGAUCAUCAACCAGUGGUUCGUUGAUCCAUUCAAGUUCCAGAUUAUGCUUGGUAAGCCUCCUUGCUUCCAAAGGAUUUCCAUUUACUUUUCAGUUUAGUUAGGAUGUUGCGGGUCUUGUAUCGACUUCCAUCAUAUCUAUUAGAGGCUUCCUAUAUAGUUCAUGAGUCUUUUCCAUUUCUUUGUUAAAUGCUUAAAAGACUUAAGUUGCCUAUUUCGGGCUAGUUGAGUACUCUAUUAUAUUCUGAGUUUGUUGUUUGAGACAUUUGAGUUAACAUUGUGUUUUUGAGUUUAUCUUAUGUCGAGUAUGUUGGCACGGGGCAUGACAUAUUUGACUUUAGUGCAUUGUUAGAAUGUUGUUGAUGACAUGAAUUGCAUUGUUUUUCCAUUCACAGUUUUUAGUAUGGUCUCCACUCAUGUAUUGGCAUAGUUACCACUCAUAAUGAGAUAUUAUUUCAUGAAAUUUUAUUGUGAAUUGGUUUUCACGAGAGUGAGUUAUACUACGUGGAUCACUUGAUUUACUAUUUUUUGAGAUUACGAAAGCGUUACGGAUGUACUUCUUUACUACUUUAAAUAUUAGAGGAAUCUGGAACGUGAUUAGUUUAAAUUUACCACCCUGCAUGUCGAUGCCCUUUCUUGCAUGAUUUGUUAUACUUAUGCCCCUAGGUUUACUCUUUCUAGUUGGGCAGCUAACGCCCCUGGCAGUUUACUGUCUGACUGGGCAACCUUGAUUUGUUAUACUUAUGCCCCCCGAUUCGCUCUUGUUAGUUGGAUGGCUUACACCCCAGACAAUUUACUGUACGGUUGAGAGGCCUUGAUUUGUUAUAUUUACACUCCUGAGUUUACUCUUGCUAGCUAGGUGGCUUACACCCCUAGAGUUUCCUGUCUUCUAGAAAGCCCAUUUACGGGAUUUCUUGUAGUAAAAGUUUAAGGAUGGUCUUACUACCCACCCUGCAUUCAUAUGAAUCACCUGUCACUUAUAUAGUUGUUUGUUAGUUUGUACCCUUUAGUUUAUGGACGUGGGUUGGGUUAUGGUCAUUGUUGUACCUUGCGGGCUUAUGGGGUCUGCUUAGGUUAUUCUUUGACUUUAUAAUGUUCUCGGUUAUUGUUUUCUUGUUAGACAAUAGGUUUUGACUUCAAAAUUAUGGGUGGGGGUCCUCCUGGCCUUGGAUAGGGCUUGGUAUCUUAGUUACUUGCAAAUAUAUGUUGUCUUGCAUUCUAGGUACGUUGUUGACUUGGCAUCAUAGUUGGUUGUGCAUAUAAAGUGUAUGAGAAUAUUCUAAAGUGGUUUAUACAUGUUAAAUUGUGUUAGGAUUUGGAUUUAUAUUAUGAUAAUAGAGAAAAGACAUAAAGGGACACCUAAAGUUGUCUCAAAUUUUUAAAAAGACACCUUGACUAUGCAAAUAUCCUAUUGCCCUCUAAACUAUUCCAAACAUAUAUUAUUACAUCAUAUUCGGAUCAAUUCCAGAUUUUAAAUGGCUAGUGUAAUCACACACCAUUAUUGUGUGACACGUGUUAAUUCAAUUUGAAAUAUUUAUUUUUAAAUUUUAAGUUUUUCUUUAUUUAUUUCUCUUACUUUUUGACUUAUUUUAGUUUUAUUAUUUUUAUUUCAAUUUUUAAUUCAUCUUCCACCCCAACUUUCAAACUCCCUCCAUUUUCUUUCUUUAUUUCUUUUUCUUCGCCUCUCAUCCUCACCCAACCCCACAUCCAUAUCAAGUUGAGCCCCUCCAUUUUCUUUCUCUUUUCUUCUUCUCAUUUGGUCACAUUUCUUACUUUCCAAAAUUAUACUAUUUUCUAGUCUUUGUUGAGUUAUUGAUAGCCAAACUAAUUAUUUUUCUAAGAAAGAUCAAAAUUUUGAAGGUAUCAUCAAUCAAUUUAUCUUAUUUCCAUAAAAAAUUCAAAAGGGAUAAUGCCCAAGUACCCCCUCAACCUAUUCCCGAAAUCUCAGAGACACACUUAUACUAUAUUAAGGUCCUAUUACCCACCUGAACUUAUUUUAUUAAUAAUAUUUUACCCCUUUUCGACCUACGUGGCACUAUCUUGUGUGCCCAACGAUGGUUGACUUUUUUUUUCAAACUAGUGCCACGUAGGCUAAAAAGGGGUAGAAAAUUACUUAUAAAAUAAGUUUAGGGAGGUAAUAGGACCUUAGUAUAGUAUAAGUGUGUCUCUGGGAUUUCGUGCAUAGGUUGAGGGGGUACUUGUGCAUUUUCACAAUUCAAAACUAGAAAUGAUAAUUUUGAAAGAAUUGGAAUUUUCCAAAAAUUGAAAAAGUUUGAUUAGAAUUUGGAUAAAAAACUAAAUAAUUCUACUAAUCAUCUUGAAAUCUAACGAGUUUAUCACAUUGUUUGAAAUGUAUUGAAAUAUCUAGAUAUAAUUUUAAAAUUGAAGAGAGUUAAACUAAUAGUAGAAUAAAAUAGCGAUGGGGUUGUGGUAAAAAGUGACAGUGAAAGUGAUAACUUAAUGAAGAUGACAAUGAGUUUUUGAAGAAGAAGGAAGAUAGAAAAAGAAAAAAAUAAUAAGAAGAAAAAGUUAAAAUAAUAAGAAAAAUAAAAAUCUAUAUUUUAUAUUAAAAUUAAUGUAAAAAUAAAAUUACGUUCGUUUUUUAAUUUGUUCACGCUUUUUAAGAGUGUAUACACUCUCCAUUCCAGGUGGACAAAAAAUGAUGUAAUAAUAUCAAUUCAGGAUUGUUUAGGGGGGUAAUAGGACACUUACAUAGUUUAAGUUUCUUUUUGAAAUAUCGGGACAACUUCAGGUGUCACUUUAUGUCUUUUCUUUAUGAUAAUAUUUUAUUUGUCAUAAGUUAUAAGUAUAUUUUACGAGUUUGCGAAUGCUCUAGAAGAUAUUGAAAUACCUUAAAAUUUAAAUUGAGGUUGUUAAACCUUUCUUGUACAUCAACAUGAGUUAGAAAUUAAAUAUUUUCUUACUGAUAAAUCUGAUAGUGAAAGGUAUUUUAUAAAGCAUUUCUAAAUUAGGAAAUAACAUAAUUGAACAAGAACAAAUUUAGAAAAUAUACAAACUAAAUAAAAAACAAUUACCUCAGAAACUAUCAUCAAUUUACACAUUAACUUACUAAACCAUAUAUCACAAAAGAAUGACACAAUAAAAACUUUUUCAAUAAUUUAGUAAAAUGAAUUUAACAAAAAUAUUAUGUCAAUGAAACAAAAAAGGAAUUACUAAAAAAAUAUGUCAAUGAAACAAAAAAGGAAUUACUAAAAAAAUAUGUCAAUGAAACAAAAAAGGAAUUGCUAAAUAAUAUGUCAUUGAAACGAAAAAGGAAUUUAAUUAAUAAUACGGUUUGUGUCAAAUCCUUCCAAAUAAGGAAUCAUUUUAAAUAUUUUUUAUUUUUUUGUUAUUUGAGUUAAUUUUAAUCAUACAAUAUGAUGGUUAUAUCUCUAUAAAUACAUAUUUAAAACAAAGGUUCAACAUCACAUUUUCUUACAUUCGCAAAUCAAAAGUUUAGACAUGAGAAGACCUAAUCACCGCAGAAGAAUUCAAACUGCGAGGAUGCAAAAUCAAACCAUCAGGCAAGUUGUAUUCUCAAAACGACGAUUUGGCCUAUUUAAGAAGGCAAGUGAGCUCUCUACUUUGUGUGGUGCUGAUGUUUCUAUUGUAGUAUAUUCUCCCACAAACAAACUAUAUUCAUUUUGGCAUGCUUUAGUCAAGUCAAUUGUGGAGAGAUUUCUCGAAGAGGAUCUUACACCUGGCAAUAAUGAUCCUAACCCCAUUAUUAUAGCUCAGCAAAAUGCUAAUGUUGAUUAGAUCAAUAGAAACCUGAACACAUUGGAGAGAGAACUUGCAAAAGAAAAUCUUAGCUUUUCUGGCUUGUGUGAGGCCUUAGAAGCUGCGGAUGAAGAAGUUGAAAGAGAAGUGAGCCAACUUUUGGAGGGUGAUGAGGUAUUCCCAUAUCAAACUAUUGGAAGUGCGUUCGCUCCUUUAAUAGUUAGGGAAAACACUUUGUUCGACUUUGGUGAAGGGUCAUAUCAAUUAAGUGAAUAAAUUUUGCUUGCUUUAUUCAAUGUUCAGUGACUUAAUUUAUUAUUUAUAGAGUUAAGUAUGUCAUUUCGAUGAUUAAGUUUUUAUAAUAUAUGAUUUUAAUUUAUCUUUGGGCAUGUUUAUGAUCAUGGAAUGGAAUAAGCUUUUAUUUUGGUACUUCAUUCGUUUGAAUUUCUUUGUCUUACUUUUUUAAUCGGCUUAAAACAAUGUAAUUUUACAAUACUUGGUUUAUAAUUUUCACAUGUCAUGUUUAAAACUGCAAGAAUGAAGAUCAUUUUGUUAUAUUUCACAUAUCUUUAAUUUAAGACCAUACGAUUCAACAAUUUUCUUUAUUGUUUUAUAUUUUAUGUCAAGUAACAAUCAGAUAAAUAAGUUAAAACAAAGGAAGGAUGUGAUAAUUUGUUUGUUGUUAACAUUGAUAUUGAUGUACAAGUGUGUAAAGCACAAGUAGAAAAUGAUUAUUGAACACGACAUUGUCAAUAGUUUGAAGUGCAACAACUAAUUUAAAAGAAAUGACGUUCUUAUUAUCUGUAUCUACAUUAACAUAUAACAAACAAUGUCACUUUACUAUGUUUUGGUAAAGUAAGGAUGACCUCCUUAUACUCUUUUUUUUUCAUUCGGUGUCCAGAGACAAUAUUAGAACUCCAGACUAAAUUUGGAUUGCGCUUUGCAGGGUCCUUUCGAAGCUGGUGUUCCCAACAGGAUUUUUCCACAUCCAGGGCUUGAAUCCAAGACCUCUGGUUUAUGGUGAAACACUUUCAUCAGUGCGCAAAAACCCAUAUCGAUCUCCUUACUUAUACUUAUUCAUAUUGAUAAAUUAUUAUUUUUUUCGUUAAUAAAAUGUCACUAGACGUAUUGUCUAGUGGUAUAUAUUGAUCAAAAAUAAAAUAAAAUAAAUAUAUCAUAAACAAUAUUAACUCAAACAAAGAAUUAAAAGCUCAUCAAAUCUUUAAAUGCCAACAUCACUCAAAUGAAAUAGCUUUAAUGCAAUAAUAAAUUUUGUUUCAUUAGAUUUCGCAUUGCUCUUUAUUCGCAUUUGUAAAUAAAGGGAAUAUGCCAAUAUUAACUUUCUAAUUAUGUGUUUUAAAAUAUUUUCUUACAUUAUAUUUCUUCACUAAUCAUUUAUUGGGAUGGAUAUCUUAUAUUACUGUUUUUGUUACAUAGUCAUAAAACAUGAUUUCAACCUGCUAAUUUUAUAAGACUUAGUGUCUAAAAUAAUGUAAAAUGUAAUCAAUAUUAUACUUUAAUUAUGAACAUCACACUUCGAAUAUUUAUAUUUUUACUAAGUAUAGUCAAUAAGAAUCAUAAAUUUAUAUAAAAGAGAACCUUAUGCUCGCCUAUGUGGCGCCACCAGAAACAAGAAUUCCCUUUUAGAUUUAUUUAUUUCCAAAACUAGACUUCCCUUUUCAUGAAAAGUUAUGACUUUUAUGAAAAGUUGUUACUUUUAGGGAAAAUGCACAAUUACCCCCUCAAUUUAUGCUCGAAAUUCCAGUCACACUUAUACUAUACUAAAAUCCUAUCCCCCCUGAACUUAUUUUAGAAGUAAUUUUCUACCCCUUUUCGUCCUAUGUGGCACUAAUUUGAAAAAAAAGUCAACCAUCAUUGGGCCCACAAGCGACUGAUGCGGACGCGGUUCUCUCGUCAUGAAAGAAGUAAUGAAAGGGAAGCCCGGGGUCAAAGCGCGUUCGUUGUUGCCUGUAUAGCUUUCUAGAGCAGAGAUCUAGCAACGCAUUCUAGGCACAGAUCAUUGGUAUUGGAUGUAUCGUUAGGUUGUGCCGAGUCAAAUCUGCUCCCUUUUUUUUCCGUUGCAGAAAAGAGAUCCCUUCCCCUCGCUUUCGAAAAUGAUGAAUAUGAAGUCCGAGAGGCUGCAGGUACUAUGGAUCCUCUGACACCCAAUCGGGUUGCUUUCCCAGGUCUCGCCGACGUAGGCCGAAAAGGGGUAGAAAAAUAUUAAUAAAAUAAGUUCAGGGGGUAAUAGUACCUUAGUAUAGUAUAAGUGUGUCUUUGAGAUUUCGGCCAUAGGUUGAGGGGGUACUUGUGCAUUAUCCCUUACUUUUAUGAAAAGUUGUGACUAUAUGAAAAGUUGUAACUUUUUUGAAGAGUUGUGACUUUUACGAAGAGUUGCAACUUUUAUGCAAAACUAUGAUUUUGUGAACGGUGGUGACCUUUCUAAAGGGUUGUAAGUUUUUCAAAGAGUUGUGUCCUUUCCUAUAAGACACAAUAAAUAUUUGUUCACACUACCCUAUAUUGUCUAUAUAAAUAGAUGAAUUUCUUGCUACUGUAAUAUGUAGGGGGUUUUCCCACUAUAGGGUAGUCAAAUUCAAAUACAUUAACUGAGUUUUUAUUAAGUUCAUUUCAUUCUUGAAAGUUUUCAUGGAGCUUAAUCUUUAUUAAGUCAAAGUUAUUCAUCUAACUAUGGUAAUUUUUUUCCUAUUUUGGCGACCUUUUUUUAAAAUAUAUUAAAGUGUCAGCAAGGAUGAUUUAAAAUUGAUCUUCUCUUUUAUCCCUUUCUGCAUGCAUCUACAUAUAAACAAAGCAAAUUGAUUUCAAUUGCAAUGCGACAUUACGACUCUUGAACCUCAUAGUGUACAACUCAUAACGUUGUUGAAAUGGUUGAUGGUUGAAUUCAUACAUUUGGUUCUUAAGUUCUUUCAUUAUUAUUUGUAUGGUUUUUUGAAUUCAAAUACAUUAAUUAUACUUCGCAUAAAGUGUUUCAUUUCUCAAAGUUUUCUUCCUCCUAUUUCAUGAAACUGAAAUUUUUAGUAUAAAUCAUAGUGAUUCAUGUACCGAUUGCAAUUUUUUUUUUGCUAUUUUGGUGACUUUUUUUUAAUUAUCUUGAAAAUUUCAAUGAGGAAGAUUGAAAAUUUAUCUUCUCUUUUUUCCCCUUUUACAGAGUUUCUUCAUGUAUUUUUGGGGAAAUUGUUCGUAGGUUGUGCUAUAUUUGAUAGCACACAACAAUAAAUAUUUGAUAACUAAUACAGAACCAACAAUGAAGUUUUUUUAAAAGAACCAAAAUGAUUGCUCUCUUACUUGCUACAGUUAGUAUAUUAUUUAGAUUGUUUUUUAUUAGGUACAAACAUUUUAUACGUCAUUGCACUAUUGGUAGAAUAUUUCUACAAAGAAAAUUUGUCCACAUAUUUUACUGCAAGUUAACUAAUUUGUUCAACUUCUUUUUCUCUCUUAUUUUCACCAUACUAAGAGAUCAAGUUUUUUUGAAAAUAACAAAUGUCCAAAAUACAGUACAGUAAAAAUAUUUUCUAUCGACAAUAAAUAUAUACAUUCACAAAAAGUGCUACAACCUUUAACGACAUUAAUUAAUUUUCAUUGAAUUCAAAGUUGUUAUAGAGUUUAGAGAUAUUUAUACAGAGUACCAAUUGCAUGUGAAAAAUACACAUUUAAUGAUAAUUAAGCUAUUAAUUAUUAUUAAAGAUCAUAUUUUGUAGUUAUAACUCAUUCUUUUGAUAAUCUUUUUUAAUUUUUGAUUAAGAAGUAAUAACUCUUUCUGGCUUCUUUCAAUUAAAUUUGUGAACUGUAAACUUGGAUACUACCCGAAAGACUAUCUUUUUGAAAAAUAUAUUAAGUACAUGCGUUUUUCUUCUUGAUUAUUAGGAAAGUGAAGGUCGUCUUUAUUAUUAUUUUUGGAUAUUUGUGUGUUCAAGUGAUCACAAAAUUAUGUUGUGAGAUUUUAAUAUGUUAUGUGUCAAAAUUUUAGUAUACCCCGUUGAAAACAUUCAGAUGUCACGUAGUACUUGGUUGAUAAUUGCAUUAAAUUUUUGUAGCUACAACCUAUAACUAUAACAAUAACUAUGUUUUAAUUCACAUAAGUAGGGGCCAGUGAUAUGAACCCUUAAAAAUAGUAAUGACUAUUUUGAGACAUUGCCAAAAAAAAUUAUGAUAAUAACAAUUUUAGGGUCAUUUUUAGCAUAUACUCGAUAUGUCAUACAAUAAUAAAAAAGAUAUUGAUUGAGGUUCAUAAAAGAGGAGUACAAGAUCGUCCAUUUGAAUUUAAUUAAUUAUGAUCUUGUAUGGAUGUGAUGUUCCCCUUUACUUGGGAGUGUUGUUUUUCAAUAUUUUCUGGUCUCUUUUUUAACUUCUAAUGUUUUUUUAUGACUUCUUAGAAUUUAUAAUUUUUUAUUACAUCUUACAAACUAUUUAGAGGGAGAUUUUCUUAGACUUCUUACUAAUACUUAAAAUUUAUCUAUGACUCAUAAUUUUGUAUGACAACUUUUUUUUACAAAAAUAUAGCACUUUAAGAUUUUAAAGAAACACUUUGUCGUAAGAUAAAAUGUUUUUGCCAAUUAUGUAUCAAAAUUACAAAUAUUAUCUAAUGAUAAUGUGUAAGCCUAAUAAAAUAGUUUAAUCUCGUGCGAAGCACGGGUAAUUUGCCUAGUAUUUAAUAAGUACAUAUUUUUGUGUAUCUAUUAUUUCAUAUGUAGAAGUCAUCGAUGAUAGAAAUUUUUAGUGAAAGUAAUAUAAAUUAUUAACCAUGCAAAUAUCUAAGGAUUAAAAAACAUCAAAUUAAUCCUAUGAUAAGUUUCAAGUUAAAAAGGCCUGAAAUAUGAAAUAGAGUGGGAAUAAUGUCUUUUUUUUUCAAUAGUUUGUUCAAUAGUCUAUUCAAGGAGUUAAUAAUGUUUUUCUUUCUUGUUUUAUAAUUUAAGUAAACCUGAGAAAUAGUGGUGUUUUUAUACAUUAAGCAAAGGUAAAUAAUAUUGGGAGUAGUACUGAGUACUGAUAUAAGAGAGAGUUUUGACAACUCACAGUCUCCAUAAAACCAUGUCUUACCAACAUGGGUACAUGAACAUAAGUUUUAGAUGAAUCCUUAGAGACUUCAGGCAUAGUUUAGUGGAUCCACUUAGUUGAGGUGUCAUAUAUUCUGACACGAUAUAAGAUAAUUCUGGAAGCGCGUGAACUAAACGUUGUAUCAUCACAUGACUCAUAGUAAUGGUUGUCAGUUAAAGAAUCUCCCAAUAGAGUUAAAGUGUAUUUUAUGUAUCACUUAUUAUGCUAACGUCCAAAGAUUGAGAAAGUAUAUUUGUAGAGUUUUAUGAUUUCACUUCAUUAUUUAUUUACAUUCAGUUGGAUAUAAAUCUACAUAUACUGCAACCCUUUCUUUCAAUACAUACUCGUACAUUCAAUAAAUUGAUGUCAUUCGACGUGCACAGUUUCAUUGAGAUCACUUUGUGCUUCAGACAACUUUGGUGAGUUUCCUUGCUUUUUAAUGGAUUUCACAAUUUAGUUUCAUGUUAUUGUUGAGUUGUUGUGGAUCUUGUCCCAACAUCUAUCCAAGUAUUAGAAGCUUCAUAGAUAGUUGGUGUUGAUGAGUCUCUCAGUAUUUCCCUUUUGUUUGAGACAUUUUGAGAUUGUUUUGCAAAGUAUUAUUAUUAAUGUACUUAAGUAUUUUUGGACAAUAUAGUGAAGUAUUUACUUAGUUUGAAUGUUAUAGAUUAUACUUUAAAAGAUUCUUAAUUUAUUCUUGAGUAAGUCUUCCGCAAAUAGUAAGUCAGGUCAAUGGUUCAUUUGGGGAUCAUAAAUGGUUUUCGAGUGUCGACCACAAACCAAGGUGUAGGCUCGGACCAUGACACGAAGUUCUUAUCCUUUCCACAGUCUGUAAACUGUUACAUGGACCUUGAAAUCUUCUUAUCCCGUUGAAGACAAAAUAUCCCAUUUUCAGAUCCUUCAUUCCACGAUAAGGUCUAUGAUUUGUGGAUCCUUACACGGUCUGUACAAACCUCUUUUAAAACCAUCCUUAAUUUCAUCUUCCCUAAGGUCCAAGGGUAUGGUCUACGGACCCAUCCACAGUAUGUAGAACCAUCCACAGGUUGUGCAUCUCAAUUUUCAUGUCAUUCCAAACAUAUCACUUUAUGAAGGUGUUUGGAUCUAUGGCUUGUGAACCCAUAUACCCGACCACGAUGUUAGACAAAUUAUCAAUUUCCUUAAUUAAUGUUUCUCUCUCAAGAACCUAUGCCACUGAACAAUUUUCGGGUUGUUGAGGCUCUGCCAUAUCAAGGUGGCCUACUAUUGUCAAUUGAGUUAUAUAGAGGACUUUAACAUGGAGGCCAAUAUGCAAGACAACAAAAGAGUUCUUACUCCUAUGUCCGUCUCUAAUGUUCUGAGUGUAGACCAAGUUGAUCUUAUUGCCCAUGGAUCUUUCUUAUGGACAAUUGUUGACAAGCUACAAUAUUUGUCCUUCACCAUACCUUACCUUGCCUUUGCAAAGAGUGAAGUGACGUGGACAGAAUUCCUUUCCAAAAGUUAAGUUUGUCCCCAUUUCACUAUUUUGAACCUUGAGAGCUCGGUAGAGGCAAUUUUAAAGAGGUUCUUUGAGAUUCGUAAAUUGGGUAGUUAUAUUUUUCUCCCCAUAUUCAUUACCCACCAACUCAUUAAUUUUGAAUUUAGGGCGUAUUUGGUAUGAAGGAAAAUGUUUUCCAUGAAGAAUAUUUUCCUAGAAAAUAUUUUUCUCGAAAACAAGUAGAAUUUUGACUUGUUUUCUAAUGUUUGGUUGGUGAGUAGAAAGUCUACAAAUAUGAUCCUAGGUUUAUUGCAAAAAGUUAGCUUAUUUUUUUGUGCGCAAGAGCAAGGGAAAAACAAUUCAUUUUAGGUUUUGAUCUUCUACUCUUUCUUAAAUUUUGAAGUGCAUGAAAAGAAUUGUAUUUGCUUUUUGAAUAUUAUGAGUGGCUACAACCCUUUGUUCUGGGGCUGUAGCUAUGGGUUAUUGUUGAACAUCGAUAUUUAUGGAUUAAUUUGUGUUAUCAUAUUAAUUAAUUUAGUAUUCUUAUUUUAGUAUUUCAUUAUAGGCCACCAUUGAUAUAAAUAUAUUGUAUAUUCUUGAACUCGAGAAACGAAUAUGCAGAUAGACCAAAGAAUAUAGAAGGCAUGAUAUUUCUUGCAUAUCACUUGUUUAGAUUCAUGUUAGGAUUGAUACUCGGAUGAACACUGGACUUGAUUAUGAUACAAGAUGGAAGAAAAUGAUCGUCAAUUGAGUGUAUUUAUCUCAGCUCAAUGAUGUAGUUAAACAUUCAAUGUGAAGAGGCGAUUAGAGGUCGAGAGAUCAUGAUCAUAACAUCAACCCUCUAACUCAGUAAUCUGAUAACUUUAAUUAAUUCAUACAUGAGAUGGGAUACAUAUAGCCUUAAGUAAGAUACAUCCCUGGAAUUCUUCAUUUAUUAGUUACUUUUAAAGUUGAGUUAUUUGCAUUAGUACUAUAGAAAACUAAGUUUCUUGAGAACACUUUUUUUAAUUUGUUGAAUUUGCAGAAUUGAUUUAAUUGAUCGUUUGUCCUUUGGGUUCGACAAUCUAGUUUUAGAAAGAGUCGUUAAUUACUUCUACGACCACAUAUACUUCUCUGUGCAUUUGAGAGCAGCACUAUUGAUCAGGUUGUUGAUAUCCUAACAAAGCCACUUCUACAUGAUUUUUCAAUCGUAUGUUUAACAAGUUGGGUAUUGUAGAUGUCAACACCAAUUUGUGGGGCCGUGAAAGAGAUAUACGUGAAUAAUUUUUAAUUAUGCCAUAGUUAUCUACUUGUACAACUGGGGCUAGUUGGUGUGUCGCUUUAGGUCUCAUUGUAGUAUCAACUCCUAUAUAAUCAUCUCGGUGUAUGACCAAAAUAUAAUUCAUCUCUCUCUAUCUAGUCUUAUUAAGUUCUUUUAAUUUCAAGUUGUAAAGUUAAAUAGAUUAUGUUGCUAGACUGGCGUGAUACAAUAUUCACAAUUUACACAUUUUAUUAUUAUUACAUUGUUUCAUAAUGCAUCAUAUCAUAUUCAAAUAUUAAUUAGUUUGUUGGAUCAAAAAAGAGAAACAAAUUCGUGUAUCGUUUUAAAAUUUUAUAAUAAACUAUUAAGUGUAUGAGAAUACGCUAACGUGGUUUAUACAUGUUAAAUUGUGUUGGGAUUUGGAUUUUCUUAUUACAGUAUUCUUCAACAUGUCAUAAGUUACAAUAUAUUUUACGAGUUGCAAAGGCUCUCGAACACAUAAAAAUAACUUAAAAUUUUAAAGUGAAGUUCUUAAACCUAAUUGUACGUCAAUAUAAGUUAGAAAUUCAAUAUUUUUAUAUUAUGAAGUUAAUAUUGGAAGGUAUUUAUUAAGCAUGUCUACAUUAGGAAAUAGAGAAAAGACAUAAAGUGACACAUGAAGUUGUCCUGAAUUUUCAAAAAGACACUUAAACUAUGCAAGCAUCCUAUUACCCCCUAAAUUACUCUGAAUUGAUAUUAUUACAUCUUUUUUUGUCCACCUGGCAUACAAAGUGUAUGCACUCUCUUAAAGAGCAUGAACAAACUAAAAAAACGAAUAUAAUUUUAUUUUUGCAAGUAUUUUGCUAUUAAAAACAUUUUCUUGUUUUUCUUAUUAUUUAAACUUUUUCUCCUUAUUAAUUUUAUCUUUUUCUUUCUUCUUCUUAAAAAAUUCAUUUUCAUCUUCAUUGAAACUUCUCAAUUUAAAUGUCUCUUGUUACCACAACUCUGUUUCCCCUUUUUACUACUAUUAAUUUAACUCUCUUCAAUCUUAAAACUAUAUCUAAAUAGUUUAUUACAUUUUAACAAUUUGAUAAACCCAUUAGAUUUCAAGAUGAUUAGUAGGUAUUAUUUAGUUUAUUUUAUCCAAAUUUUAAUUAAAAUUUUUCAAUUUUCGGAGAAUUAUGAUUCUUUCAAAAUAUUAUUUCUAGUUUUGAAGUUAUAUGAAAAUGAGAUAAAUUAAUGAGAUGAUUAGGAAGUAUUAUAUAGUUUUUUCUUAUACAAUUUCAAUGAAGUUCUUUCAAUUUUUGGGGGAUUAAUUGAUUCUUUUAAAAUUAUGAUUUCUUAUUUUGAAUUUAUAAGAAAAUGAGUAGUUCAUGAUUCUUCAAUAUUUUAAAUUUUCUUAGAAUAAUAAUUAAUUUUGUUAUCAAUAUUUUAGUAAAUUCUAAAUAAUAUAAUGAAUUCUAUAAAGAAUUUGACCGGAGAAGAAGAAGAAAAAGAAAAUAAAAAAAUGGGAGUGAGAUUUUAUUUGACAUGGGGGAUGGGAGGUGAAGAAAAAAAAAGAAAAUGGAGGGAUGAAUUACUUAAAAGUAAGAGGUAGAAGAUGAAAUGAAAUUUAAGAUAAAUCAAAAUUAAAAUUAAAGAGAGAGAGAGAGAGAUAGAGAGCGAGAGAGAGAGAUGAACUUUUUUUUACAUUAACACGUGUCAUGUUAUGAUUGGUGUGUGAACACACUUGUUUCUUAAAAUUUGGGCCUAAUAGAAAAAUGAUAUAAUAACAUAUGUUCAAAAUUGUUUAGUGGGUAAUAGGACAGUUACAAAGUUAUGAUGUCUUUUUAAAAAUUCGGGACAACUUCAAUGAUGACUUUAUGUUCUCUUAGGAAAUAUACAUAGUUGAACAAGAGAAAAGUAUACAACUACAAUUUUAAAAAACCUCAGCAACUAUCAUUAAUUUACAUAUAAACUUAGAAAAGAAUGACACAACAAAAACUUUUCCAAUAAUUCAAUAAAAUAAAUUAAUCUAAAAAGAAUUAUGUUAUUUGUAAUUUUUAUAGAUCGGAGUGACAAAGAUAGAAUGAAACAAAAAAGGAAGUUCAUAAUAUUAUGAUUUGGGUCAAAUCUUACUGAAUAAGGAAUCAUCAUAAAUGUUUUUACUCUUUUGUUAUUUGAGUUCAUUUUCAUCAAAUAAUAUGAUGAUUCUAUCGCCAUAAGUAUAUCAUUCAAACAAACACUCAACAUCACAGUUUCUUACAAUCUAUCAAAAGCUUAGUCAUGAGAAGACCUAAUGGCCAUAGAAAAAUUGAAAUUGCAUGGAAUCAAAAUCAAACCAACUUACAAGUAACAUUCUCAAUUAAUUGUGGUUAGAUUUCUCGGAGAAAAUCCUACACCCAACACUAAUGAUCCUAACCCAUCCUUGUAGAUCAUCAAAAUGUCAAUGUUAGUGAGAUCAACAAAAAACUGAAAAAGUUGGAGAGACAACUCGAAAUAAAAAGAAAACAUGGACAAGCACUUCAAGCAUUUAAGGACAAAACAUUCACAUAAAAAACUUAGCAUCUUUCACUUUAAAAUCCUGUGCGAGUCCUUGGAAGAUGUGGAUAAAGAAUUUGAAAUAUUAGCAAGACAACUCACGGAGUGUGGUAUUGAAUUUCCAUGUCAAACCAUUGGAAGUGAGCUUGCUCCUUUAAAAGUUAGGGAAAGCACUUCGUCCUAGAUCCAGUAAAUAGCAUAGUUGUGAUCAUCAAAAUACUUGCAUGUCAUGGGUUCAUAAUAUAACCAUUGAGAUAAUUAACUUAUAACAAAUUCAUGCAUUAUAAGAUCAGUCCGGAAGAAGAAUCUGAAAUUCCAUAAAAACUAAUAAGAAAUCAUGAAACCCUAAAAUUUGAUAGGAUAAUAAAUUAAGAAAUUAAGGUUUUUUUGGGACUCAAUGGGUGAAAAAGGACUUAGUGAUAAAGUUCCCACAUCGAAAUCCUAGGUAAAAUCCUUCAAUGAAGACUUGAGAUCAUGAAGCCCUGGAUUGCUUGAGGGAGAAGACUUGAGGGAGAGGGAAUUGGAAUUUGGGAGAAUAUAUGAGAGUAAAUGGGAUAGUUAGGGGUUUUACGUAUUAGUUAUAGUCUUCAAAAUAAUCCUGACUGGCGUAGUAUAAGUAUUGAAAGAGUGAGAAAAUACUCAAUUAAUCGUGAAAUAAAACUGUUGAAUAGGCUUAACAAGACAAUCUACGGACCGUAGAAUCCGUCUAUAGUAAUCAACUUAAAAUUCUAAGUUUCAGAACUCUAAACCACAAACCCCUUUUACGACCAUAAUGUCCACCCCUUUGUAUAACUCAUACUACCUUCCCGUAGAAGAUAAUGUACUAAAUAUCCCAAUUCUAAAGUCUUACUAUACAAGACCCAACUACAACUCGUGGUUCCUUUAGCGAACCGUACUAUUGGCUCGUACAUGACAUCCUGAUGUUAUGAAAUCUCAGGGAUUAUUUCCAUUAGCCUAUUCAUGACCCAUAUAAUAAUCUAUAAUAUGUAAUUUCUUCCCAACUGAUUAAGACACAUCUACAAUAUGUAAACCCAUGUAUUACCCGUAAACUUGCUUGUAUUCCCUGAGAAACUUAGCCUGAUUUCUAAAGCAUCAGCCAUGGAUGGUUUCCUCGAGCUGUAAUACAUUCUAUGAUCCAUAUCAUGAUUUCGUAAGUACCACAAAGCUAUAAACUUCAAUUAUUUUUCUGCACUUUCUAAAUUUUUUGAGUUAUGCACAUCCAAGGUAUUACACUUGGGGUGAUCGAGAUUGUUUUAAUCGUGGCGAGGUUGGCCACUACGUCAGAGAUUGCCCCAAAUGUAGGGUUGUAGCACCUACGAGUAGAGGCGAUGCUUAGGGACAAGGGUGGUCCCCCAAGUUCUUGAGGAAGUACUCAAGUAGGUAGAGCAGGAGAAAGAGUUGGACUCCACUUUUUGGAGGAUGUGGGCAUUUUUAUGUGGUUCCUGCAAGGUCGGAUUGUGAGGAUUUCGAUUAAGUGAUUUCAAGUACGAUCUCAAUUUUUUAUUGAUCGACCUUUACUUUAUUUGAUUCAAGAUGUACUUAUUCGUACGUAUAUGUUUAUUUCUCUCCGCGAUUAGAGUUGCAUUUUUGAGCCCUUGUAAAUGUUGCUGCCUGUAUCGACUCUCAUAUUGAUUCUUUAGGAGUGGAUCAGGUUUGUGACAAUUCAUAAGUGCAACACGCAAGCUGACCUUAUUUUUCCUUAUAUGCUUAAUUUUGAUGUUAUUCUGGGCAUAAACCGGUUAUCCUUCUUAUGUGCGGUCCUAGAGUGCUUUGGCAAGACUGUUAUCUUAGUGAUGCCUAGUAUUCCCCCGGUUGUUUGGCAAGGUCCUUGUAGCCGCCCAUCAACAGAGAUUACUUUAUAUGUUCGGGCUCAGAGCUUAGUAUCUAGCGGGGUUUCGUCUUAUUUUGCUUUUAUUGGUGAUUUUAGCAAGGAGGGACCUAUAACUGAUUUUGUUCCUGUUGUGAGAGAGUUUGUCGAUGUAUUUUCUAUUGACCUACUUGGCCUUCACCCUGAACGUGAUAUUGAUUUAUCUAUUAACCUUAACUCAAGCACUCAUUCUAUUUCUAUUCUACAGUCUUGUAUAGAACCUCUUAGCUUAAAGAGCUCAAUAUUCAGCUUCAAGAACUUUUGAGUAAGGGCUUUAUUAGAACGAUUGUCUCACCUUAGGGUGAUCACAUACUGUUUAUGAAGAAGAAGGAUGGGUCUAUGCGUAUGUGAAUCAAUUACAGUCAGCAAGAAUCAGUACCAUAUGCCUCGUUUCAAUGACUUGUUUGAUCAACUUCAGGGUGUCAUGGUGUUUUCAAAGAUUGAGUUGAUGAAAUGUUAUCAUCAACUAAGAAUUAGGGUAAAGGACAUCCACCUUUAGGUGUUUUAUUUACUGUGAAAGAAGUACUCUCUGGAUUACUAAAUCACCACAUAAGUGAUGAUAACUCAUAAGACUACAUUCAAAUACAACUUGACACUAAUACUUCAUCAAAAAAUUGGGCCAGUGCGUGCACGGUUAACAUCAUCUGGUAAAUGAAACAAAGAUCAAUAGAAAGUUCUCUGAAGGAUGUCAGAGUGAAGAUAGAAUCAUUUACCUGUCAUGCACAUCAAUGACUCUUUAUUUUCCUGCAGUAAGAUAUAAUAUAUUAUUCGGAGUUAUCAAUUUAUCAUUUAUUGCAACUAAAAUGCUAUCCCUCGAUAUAUAGUACUAUACAUGAUUCAAGGUAGCAAAUUGUAGGUUAAUUUUAACUCGUACAGUGUACCACCUUUAGUUGAUCAGCCUUGUUCUAGUAGCAGCAGUGGUCUGUAACAUUUCCAGUUGCUCAUCUCAGAUCAUCUACUCAUCUAAUAUUGAGAAACUCAACUGAUAUAUACAGAGUCAAAAAUGCAAGUCUUCUUGCUCGAAAAUUCUCCUAUCAUGAUGAUCUUUCUUCAGCUUUGAAAUCGUAACAACUUUAUAACAUCAUAAUGAAGGAGUAAAACCCUUGGGAUCAAAAUACACAGAGAUUCAGGCCUCUACAUAAGAACAACAUUACAUUUAAUAGAAGCACUAGAACAUGUCCAUGAAAGUAGAUUUAUUCUUGUGCAAACAUUUAAUAGUACAUUAUCAAUUUGGCUUUAUUGGCAUUUGAGUAUUUUUUUACUUUUACCAAAAUCAUCCUUAUAGUUUCACUUCAACUCUAGUUACAUUCUUAUAACAAAUAUUUCACUUAACAUGAAAUAUGCUUGAAAUUUUCAUAAAGUAAGCAGAAAGAUCCUUCUUUCUAUUUUUCAUCCAUUUUUGCAGGAGCUCAUAGCACUCCUUUUGCUUUCAUCCCUUUUUAGUGGCAAAAUUCUAUUGUAGGUUCCUCUUAUCUAGUGUUCUUCUCUCACCUCUCGUUUUCCUCCUUCAUAUAUCACAUCACUAAUCAGUCAAAACCCCUAAUGUCUUUUACUUGUGAUUUCUGCAGGACGUAAAUUUUCAAAUUGAGUUUCAACACCUUUUAAUUUUUUAUUUAUGUCUUGUGUUUUUUUAUUUAGUUGAAUAUUAUCUAAUUAUGAAUCGAGUCCUUGAUUAUCCAUGCCUCAAUUGAUUUCUUGUUCUCAAAAAAGUCUGGGGUAAUUAAUCUUGAAACAGAAUCUUCCCUAAACAGUGAUUACUCAAGGAAAAUCAAAGAUGGAUAGCCUAAGGAUAUGGGUGUCCAAAUCAAUGUUGUUCAUGUUUUGCUUCUUUCUGAGAAUAUUCUAAAGUGUUUUAUACAUGUUUAAAUUGUGUUAAGAUUUAUAUUUUCUAUUACGAUAUUCUUUAACUCGUCAUAAGUUACAAGUAUAUUUUAUGAGUUAGCAAAUGUGAGUCGUUUGUAUAACGGUAAAGGUAUAGAUGGACCACUUUAACAACAAGGAGCAUAUCAGCUCCAAAUGACGGUUAAGGGGUAUAUCAGACCCUUUUCCCCUUUUAAUAACCGAGAAAUCCACAUGUGACCCGACGCACUUUGGACCAAUCACAUUCUUCUAAGCUCGAUGGAUAAUGGACCCGCCCCUCUACUCUUCUCUAUGUAAAAAUUGGGCUUCGCUUUGCAUGGUGUGGGGCUCGAACCUGCGACCUAAUCCACAAAUCCUCCACAUUUUGCCACUUGAGCUAGGCCUUAGGGGCAUUUUAAAACUUUUUUAUACAUUAUUAUGAGUAAGAAGAUAAAUACUUUCAUAUUGUUAAAUCUAGUAGUGGAAAGUUUUUAAUUAAGCAUGUCUACAUUAGGAAAUAUACAUAGUUCAAUAAGAGCAAAUUUAGAAAAUUUACAAAUACAAUAAAAAAAAUUAUCCCAGAAACUGAUUUACUUAUUAACUUUGCUAAAUUUGAACAAAAAUUUAAUUAAUAUUAUGAUUUGGGUCAAAUCCUACCAAUUAAAGAAUACCAUCAUAAAUAUUUUUACUUUUUUGUUAUUGAAUUCAUUUUUCAUCAAAUAAUAUAGUGGUUCUAUCUUUAUAAAUACAUCUUUAAAACAAAGACUCAACAUCACAUUUUUUUACAUUCUCAAAUCAAAAGCUUAGCCAUGAGAAAACCUAAUGGCCGCAAAAAAAUUGAAAUUGCGAAGAUUCAAAAUCAAACCAACUUGCAAGUAACAUUAUCAAAAAGACGUGCCGGCCUAUUUAAAAAGGCAAGUGAGCUCUCGACUUUGUGUGGUGCUAAUGUUGCUAUUGUAGCUUUUUCUCCUAGCAACAAAGUAUACGCAUGUGGACACCCUUCCGUCGAGUCAAUUGUGGAUAAAUUUAUCGGAGAGAAUCCUCCACCUGAAACUGAUGAUCCUAACCCCAUCAUUGUAGCUCAUCAAAAUGCCAAUAUUGAUGAGCUCAAUAAAAAGCUGAACAAGUUUGAGAGAACACUCGAAAGAGAAAGAAAACAUGGGCAAGCACUUCAAGCAUUGAGGACAGAACCUUCAAAUGAAAAACUUAGUUUUUUUGAUCUUAACAUCUUGUGCGAGUCCUUGGAGGCUGCGGAUAAAAAAGUUGAAAAACUAGCAAGCCAACUUAUGGAGUGUGGUAUUGAAUUCCCAUAUAAAACCAUUGGAAGUGCGCUCGCUCCUUUAAGAGCUAGGGAAAGCACUUCGUCCGUUUCCGGCGAAGGGUCAUCUGGAUCCGGUGAAUAAGUUUUUCUUGCUUUAUUUAAAGUUCAAUAACAUAAUUUGGUAUUUAUUGAGUUAAGUAUUCCAUAUUGAUGAUUAAGUUUUGAUCUUAAUUUUAUCUUUUAGUAUGUUCAUCAUGAAAUGGAAUAAGCUUUUGUUUUGGUACUUCAUAAAUUUCUUUGUCUUGCUUUUUUGUGGUCCAUUUAAAAAAUAAUGUCCUUUUACAACCUUAGUUUAUAAUUUUUACAUAAUUUAUCCCCUCUGUUUUAGAGAAUCUACCCAGCAAUUUAACCUUCAGAUUGCUUCAAGACAAGCACCACUAAUCAACUACAGAAUGCCAUUAUAAGACUAAUGCCUGUUGCUAGGGCGACAAUGAGGGGCCUUCCUUCCCAUAACAAGCACUAUUAUAUAUAUUUAUAAGUGCAUACAAGUUACACUAUAGAAUGCACACAAAAAAAUUACAACACACCAACUAGGGAGAGAUUCACAUAAAAAAAUCAUGAUAUGAAAGAUAAACCACCUUAUAAUCAUCACUAACAAUAUCAUAUUCUAAACCAUACACUAGUUUUAGGAGGAAGAGCCCAAAAACCAGGAAAUUUAGGAAAUUAAAUAUAUUCCCUAUCAACCCAGCUACAGAAAUGUAUGAGCAGCUGAAAAUUAACCUUUAUUGAAAUGCUAUCGAGGAAUUCAUCGUCGAGGAUAAGUAUGAAGUUGGCCAUGCUAACUGAGUUUCUCUUUUUGUCUAUGGGCGUGGAGGUCUGAGAGAAAAUUGUGCCAGUGCUUUGAUAGGCAUUAUAUUUAGCUUUACAGGGAGGCGGUAGAGUAUUUCAAUUAUGACUUCUUCGGGUAGCUAUUUAGCUUUGCCUCAUUGCCAUUGUUGGAUUUUCGAGUGUAUUUCAAAGCGUCAAUCUAGUGAAAUUAUGUGCGCUGUAACAUUUUUUUUAACUUAUUUGACCUGAAACAAAAUCCUAAAAAAUAAUCUUUAUUUGUAUUUCAUGGCCAAACACAAUUAAAUAUUAUAAUAUUAUUUUUCAUGUUAAAAAAUAAAUUGUUAUUUGAAGAAUAGGGGAGUCAGUGAAAGAGGGAAAGUUGAAUAAAUUUGUUGUCAUUAAAAAGGGGGAAAAUGUUAUUUUUGAGUUGAUAUGAAGUUUUGAUAAUUUAACAAACUUCGAGUUCUAACAAGGAUUUUGUAAAAGGCCUUGAUCAAUCAGUUUGCUAUAAAUUGCAAAGGAUUGAGAAAGUUACAACUUGAAAUAGACAAAGUCUUAGAUUAUAAUCCAAAUCCAAAACAUGAUGAAAUGUAAACUUUAGAAAAUCUUCUUUUAAGCACCGCAACUACACUUGAGUUUCACCAAAUGGGCUUAAGUGUCCUUGAGGUAAGCAUUUGACAUGUCGUUAUACUUAUAUAUCUUAAAGUAAUUGUAUUCAUGCAAUUCUAAUUUUUGUUUCUCCUAAGCAUUAUGACUGCUGACACAAUUCCUAAGGGAUCUCCAUUUACGAGCAUGCAAGAGUUUUCAUUAGGAAUAGACUUUGGAAAACUGUGUCAGAUUACUUGUGUUCCACAGUUGAUUGAGAGUUGCCCCAAUUCGAGUAUACUUCAGAUUUGGGUAAGUAGUGGUAAAUUAUGUGGCCAUGAUAUGAGUAUGAUCUCAUUGAUUUUUUCACUCCUUAUAUAUACUGUGCAUAGCAUAGUACCGCAUUGGAUGUUGGUUACAACUGCAUCAACGUAAAACACUAUAUAUAAUGCUCCUAAAUUUCUUAGUGUAAACAUGUCAUUUUAAAUACUGGUUUCAGUACUUUCUAAAUUUCUUCUCCCGUUAUCUUAUGUAUUCCGUCAAACCUUUAACAUGAUAUGGAAUGCAUUCACUUAGUAAGACAGGUAUUUGUGGUAUAUAUACAUAUACGUAAGCACGAGAAGUUUUACCUUAUUCAGUAUUUGUUUAUAGGUAUGUGGUUUCAGCGACAAUGCUGAUGACACUUUUUUGAAACACCUGGACAGACCGAUUACCAUCUUGGAUCUACAAAUGAACUAGCUCAAGUAUGUGUGCCCGUAGCACGACAGAUGUCUGGUGCCCGCAGCAUAAUAGUCGUCUCACAAUGUGUGCUUGAGAGGCUCAUUGCAACGCGAUCAAAUAUCUUACUACUUGUAUGAGCUGGAAUCAUAAUUAGAAGAGUAUUAAUUUAAAAGUGGAUUUUAUGGGGCACACCUUGUUUUUUGUGCUGCAAACUAAAAUCUGCAGUAUAAUUGGAACUUAGAAACAGAGAUGUCCUAUGUCUUAAAUUCCAAUAGUGUCCACCAACAAGGCAAUAAUGUGAGGAUUCAAUACUUUUUCAGUAUGAGUGUAUCCAUCUGGUUGUGUUUGUAAAAAUGCGAUUAAGAUGAAGAAUACAAGUGAGAAUAUCUAUAGACACAGGAGUUGAGCAUAAAUUCUUCAUUUCAUUUGCAUCAGCAGUUCAAAGCAACCUUUUCUACUUUUCUCAUGAUUUUGUGUUUUUUAGGUGGAAAGAUGCAAAAUAUGUUGGGCAAGGAAAGAAGUUCCUCUGUUUGGUUUGUGUGUGGCUAUUAAAAGAUAUUAAACUCCAUUGGAAGUCGCUCUUCAAAUGUUGUAUCUUUGCUAAAACACUGGAAUCUAAUAUAUUGAUCCUUGCUUCCUGAAUGCAGAUUCUUGAUGCGCCUCUUAGAAACUCUAUAUUGAAGUGCCUCAUGUGUUUGCGUUGACUAGCCUACAGGCAAACUAAGUUUAUUUAACACUCCUUCCGCCUUUAUGAUUUUAUAUUUUUAAAAAAGACCAUAUCACACAAGUAUGAAUCGUGACUUCUAACAACACAUUGUCAUUUCUAAUCAAUAAAAGAAAAAUACAGAAUUUGAACAAAAACCAAAAGUGGUGGUUUAAUUGGAGCAGCCCAUCAGGCGUUAUUGGACUUAGGAGGGUACCGACUCGUUAUCCUUCCACUGCAUAGAGCGGGAACUGUUCGUUGCUCUGUGAAACCAGCCUCACGCAGUCCGUUCCACUUUAGGAACCCAUCAGCCCAUUCCUUCGAUUGGAUAGCAAGGCCCAACUCUAUGCUUGGACAGGGCAGGCCAUAAAUUAGCCCGCCAGGCCCAACCAUCUGGAACAGCCCAACAUUCCACCACACUAAUGCCCCACUUGGGUUACAAGCCCAUGUUACUAAGCUCGGCAAGCAGUAUUGCUUUAUAAAUUCAUAUAAACAAAAAAAGAUUACUAUUCAAUAACGAUGUGGGACACAUUUUGUCAAAGCAUAAAAUCUAAUUAGUGAAAUACUUACCAUCUUAAGAAAGUCAAAACAUGCAAUUAAUUCUUAAUUCUGCUCUUCAACUAAUAUGUAAAAACAUGAAAUCUAUUAGAGUGUUACAUGAAAAACAUCAGAGAUUAUGGUAGGAAAGGGUAGAAGUUAGAUUGAGAUUAGAUUUGAGUGUUACAUGAGAGAUUAUGGUGCAUCAACAAAAAAGUGGUAAUGGAAAAAUUUCAAGAAAUGACUCAGAUAUCGUGGAAGUAUUUAAUUGAAGGAAUUCUACAAAAUCUCUUCAAAGAUUCUCACUCAUAUUUUCAAUCUUACUCGCAUAAUUUAUGUAUCAAUUUUCUUUUAGCUAGACAAAUCUGAAAAUGGUGUGAAUGAAUAGUCUUAAGCAGUUUAAAUUCUCACCACAAGGAAAUGAAUUGUCAAAUAAUAGCAUGAAAAUGUCAGAAUAAGCACAAGACUAGACAUCAAAAUGUAAAAGCUAACCACUACACAAAAAAUUAUCAGCCAUUAAUUAACGACAAUAACUUAAUUACAGCUAAAUAUGUCCUGGAAAUCUAUAGCAACAUUAAAUCCAACUAUAUAUUAUUGGUAAAAACUUUAGUACUCUUUGCUAAUAUGAAUAUUUUUCGCCGCUAAAGUUGUUUUUAUUGUAGUUAACUCCCAAAAAUCUCAAGACUUGAUAAUUCUCAACCUUUUUCUUAUGAGUCCAUCUAAUAUUGUUCCGGCACAAAAGUACAAGUCGUGAUGACACUUAUAUAUGUUCCCAACCAAUAGGUAGGCUAAUUUAAUAUUAACUAAUUCAAUUCAAUAUAUAAAGUAGAAUGUAAGUGAAAACAAAAUAUCCAAACACUAAGUCUUUUAAAAUGAAAUGCGGAAAAAUAGAAAUACCACACAAGAUUGGUGUUAUAAGUACAAGAACUUCUACUAUACGAUAGAAGUCUGAAACUUAAAUGACAAGUCUAAAUGUAAGAAAAUUUGUGUAUAUUAUUUGUAGUUUUGAUGAUUUGACAAACUGAAUGAUCUUAUGAAGGAACCUGGUUCUUGGCUCAAUAUACUUUUUGGAUGCCAGCUGAAGAAUGUACAAAAGUUGGUGCACAGUCUCCAACAGUGGCAGAAGUGGGAGACGCGCCCGAAUCCUCAGCCAAUGUGAUUUUUUUAUGUUUUGUAACCUUUCUACAUACACAAAACAUCCCUAUAUUCACAAUUAGUUUUUGCAACUUGAAAAAACAUUCAAGAACUCUUGCAAAGGGCUAGAAAAUCAAGGAGAAGAAAUAUUCAACAACAACAGAAGCUCAAGUGAACAUUGUGUAGUUGUUUGGGAAUACUUUCUUUUGGUCUUACAUUGUAAACGGAUCCUAAAACUAUAAAGAAAUUAGUGUGGUUUGAUCUGAAAUUCUAAGUUAGUUAGUUGAACUGAUUUAGUGGGCAACCUUUGUGUUGCUUAGAAAAUGCUAAAUCAUUAGUAGGUUAGUGGUUUAGUGGGUAGUCUAUGAGAUCGCUUAGAAAAUUCUAAGUUGUCUAUAGUGAUAGCUUAGUGGGUAGAGUAACAUAUACUUAGGCUCAUCAAACAAUAGUGUUAUUGCUUGUUGGUGAGAUUAAAAACUUUUUCUCACAUUUUGUGUAAACGAUUUCCUUUUGCUUGUGAAGAUUAGUCAAACGCUUGUGAAAAACCUUUGAGACAUGUCAUGGUUUUACUCCCUUGAGUAAUGAGGUUUCCACGUUAAACUCCUCUGUUGUUAAACUGCAUUUACUUUCUACUAUAUCCUUUUUUGUGUGUCAAUGGACCUGGUCCAUUGACUGAUAGUGGACACACAAAUUUUAACAGGUGGUAUCAAGCGGGUACUCUCUAUUUGGUUAAUACCAAGAGAGUGAGUCCUGAUCUAGAAUGGCUUCUUCACUCAAUCUGGAAGUGGGUUAUUCUUCAAUUCGACCUCCUCAUUUCAAUGGCCACUUCUAUAGCUGGUGAAAAGUUAGAAUGCAUGACUUUCUUAUGGCUGAAGACAGUGAACUAUGAGACAUUGUCUUGGAUGGACCAUUCAUUCCCAUGAUUGAAGAGAAAGAUGGUGAAAUCACUAGGCUUUUUCCAAAGCCUAGACGCAAAUAUGAUGAAGCUGAUAGGAAAAAGAUUGAAAAUGGAUACAAAGCAAAGAAGCUUCUUGUCUGUGGUAUAAGACCUGAUGAGUUCAAUUGUGUCUCAGCUUGUGAAUCUUCAAAGGAGAUCCGAGAUUGCUUGAAAACAUCUCAUGAAGGAACGAAAAAGUAAAAGAGUCAAAGAUUGAUAUGCUUACCUCUUAGUAUGAAAAUUUCAAAAUUAGAGAAGGUGAAGCUAUUCAUGAGAUGUUCACAAAACUGUCAUCAAUCACAAAUGAGUUAAGAAGUGUUGGAGAACCUAUCAAUAUGAGCAAGAACGUCAGGAUAGUGCUUCGAAUUCUUCCCAAAUCUUGGGAAAGUAAAGUAGAUGCCAUCACUGAAGCUAAGGAUUUGAAAGUGUUAAUAAUGGAUGAGCUCAUUUGAAAUCUAAAGACCCAUGAAAUAAACCCAAGUUAUGAUCAGUGAAAGAAGGAAGUCAAGAAAGGUAAGUCCUUGAUGCUAAAAUACAGAUCUGAAGAGGACUCCAAUGAUGCUGAUCAUAUGUCCUAUAUUAUCAAGUGGUUUCAAAAGAUUAUGAGGAAAAACAAAGGUUUUAGAAAGGGAGCAAAUGUUCCACGAACUGCCACUCAAAAUGAUACCUGUUAAAAGUGUGGAAAGGCCGGACAUUUUAUAAGAGAGUGUCCCUUACUUAAAGCUGAAAACAAAGAAUAUCAAAGACCAAGAGGUGAUAAAGAAAAGCGCAGGGACAUGGUAAUCGAUAAAAAUGAUAGAAAAGUUGCUGCUGACUAUGUGGUAAAGAAAGCCCUUGCUGCAUGGGGUGAUUUUUUGAGCGAUUCAGAAGACCCUGAUGAACCAAAUGUUGUGUCAAUGGUGGUGCUUCAUGAGGAUAAAACCAUAUUCAGUGAGAUGUUUGAUUUCAUGGCUCAUUCAGAGAAUGAAGAUGAUGAGGAUAAGAUAACUCUUCUUGAUUUGAAACAUGAUCUGAAUACCUUUUCUCUUAAAAAAUUGAGAACAUUAGCAAAUGUUAUGAUUGAUUCAGUGAUUGAGUUAACUUCUUAAAGAGAUACCAUGAAUGCUGAGUUUGAAAGUUUAAAUGAAAACAGAGAUAAAAUGGUUGACAAAAUGUUGAAAAUUGAAGUCAAAAUGAUUGUUCUAGAAACCGAAAAACUAGAAAUCAAAAAUCAAUUGUAUCUGAUGACCGAGAAGUCUGAAAAACUGAAAGGAAGGUCUACUAGUUUACAUGUGGAGCUGGAGAAAAAAAAAUGAAAAACACUGCACUAACUUUGUAUUAGCCUUGGAAAAGAACAAAAGCUUAGAGAGAGAUUUUCUCAAACUUAAGGAUGACCUUGCAAAUUCUCUUAGAUGGACAAAAUCUUCUAAGUUGCUUUCAAAUGUGACAAAUCAAAGAAACUACAACAAAAGGGGUUUAGGAAGCUUGAAUAUUACUCCUCUUUUGAAUACUCACAGCAAAUAUGUUUUUGUGUCAGAUAAUUUGUUGUGUCUUUAUUGUGGUAGGAAUGGACAUUCAAAAAGGGAAUGUUCAGCGUGGAGAGAGUCACAUGAAAGAUUUUCAAAUUAUAUAGAAAAGAAAAGGAUUUCAAAAGGGGGAGCUGGUCCUGUCCAAAAGCCCUUGUCAAAAAGAGUCUAAAAUUAUCUCAAUGGGCAAGAAACACUUUGAUUACUCCUUUAUCUACCUUCUGGGAACUUAAAAUUGAAAUGGCUUCCCAAGUCUAAUAAGUGAUUCUUGCUGCAGGUGAGUGAGAGGAGGAUCAGUCAAUGUUGGUAAAUGGAUAAUGGAUUCUCUAAACAUACGACUGGAUAUACAAAAAACUUCCUGUUGCUCAAGGUGCUUCAAGGUGGAGGCGUGUAUUUUGGUGAUGGAAUGUAGGGGUAGAUUUUAGGUGUUGAUAAAGUGAAAAAAUCUUGAAGAAUCCAUUGACAAUGUGUACCAUGGUAGUGGGCUGAAGUACAAUCUUUUGAGUGUUUCUCAAAUUUGUGACAAAGGGAAUGAAGUAAAGUUUACAUCUGAGGAGUGCACUGUAGUAAAUAUCACUACAAAGAAAGUGAUUCUCACAGCACAAAGGUGUAAAAACAUGUAUGUGGCAAACUUAGAAACGUCUCGUGGAGAUGAUCUGACAUGUCUAAGUUCUCAAAAUGAAAAUGCUGAUGUGUGGCAUCAGAGACUAAGUCAUGUGAGCUCAUCUCUAUUGAAUAAGUUGAUAUCUAAGGACCUGAUACUAGGUCUGCCAAAGCUGAAAUUUUGUGAAAGUAAAAUCUGUGAAGCAUGUGUCGAAGGAAAACAUGCAGGUAACUCAGGUGGUGUAACUCAGGUGCAGGUACCAGUGUAACUCAAGGAAAACAUAUAGGUACCAGUGUAACUCAGGUGCAGGUACCAGUGUAACUCAAGGACCUUGUAAAGGUACCUGGUCCAUGGUGUAGGGAACAAAGGAGUGUGUCUACUCGACAGGGGAAAGAAAUGCAGGUAUUGGUGUAUGGUUUGUCAUCAUCAAAAAGGGGGAAAAUGCUAUAUUGAUAUUUUAAUGAGUUGAAAACUUCAAGAUGAUGAAACUCCAGUUACCCCAAGAAUUCUUGUUGAUAGGGGAACUGGUGAAUAUGCUUGUCAUCAUCAAAAAGGGGAAAAAUGUUAUUUGUAGUGUUGAUGAUUUGACAAACUGAGGGACCUUAUGAAGGAACCUGGUUCUUGGCUCAAUAUUCUUUUUGGCUGCCAGCUAGAGAAUGUACAAAAAGUUGGUGCACAAUCUCCAACAGUGGCAGACGCGCCAGAAUCCUCAGCCAAUGGGAUUGUUUUACGUUUUGUGACCUUUCUACUUAAACAAAACAUCCCCAUAUUCACAAUUAGUUUUUGCAACUUGAAAAAGCACAUACAAGAACUCUUUUAAAGGCCUAAAAAAUCAGGAAGAAUAAAUAUUCAACAACAACAGAAGCUCAAGUGAACAUUGUGUAGUUGUUUGGGAAUACUUUCUUUAGGUUUUACAUUGUAAACUGAUCCUAAAACUAUAAAGGAAUCAGUGUGGUUUGAUAUGAAAUUCUAAGUUAGUUAGUUGAACUAAUUUAGUGGGCAACCUUUGUGUUGCUUAGAAAAUUAUAAAUCAUUAGUAGGUAAGUGGUUUAAUAGGCAGUCUAUGAGAUUGCUUAGAAAAUAUUAAGUUGUCUAGAGUGAUAGCUUUGUGGGUAGAGUAACAUCUACUUAGGCUCAUCAAGCAAUAGAAUUAUUGCUUGUUGGUGAGAUUAAAAACUUUUUCUCACAUUUUGUGUAACCGAUUUCCUUUUGCUUUUGAAUAUUAGUGAAAUGGUUUGUGAAAAUCCUGUGAGACACAAGCGUACAACAGUUUUGUAAAAGCAAUUCAAUUUCUGAGCACUCAUAACAAUUGAUCGCGACAUACUUGAGGUUGUUGAGUUGUAGGUCCAAGCAAGUAAUUGUGUCUGUCAAGGUAUUUCGAUACCGUUUCAGUAUUGUUACAAGAAGAAUAUACCUGAUGGUAUAAAAUAAAUAUGGAAUCAAUUAUAACUUCUCGUGCUUACAUAGACAUACCACAUAAACCUAUCUUACUUAGUGCAUGCAUUCCAGGACAAAAAAACUUAGAGAGGAGCGGAACCGGUAUUCAAAUUGGCAGUCACAACUACAAAGAAGUACAUAUAUCCAGUUAUGAUUACAUUAUAGUUUUCUAUACUUACCAAAAUCUGAAUUAUGCUCAAAUUGGGGCAACUCUUAAUCAACUGUAGAGCGCAAUUAGUCUGAGGUAGUUUUCUCAAGUCUAUUCCUAAUGAGAGCUUUUGCAAGCUCUCAAAAAGACCCCACUUAGAAAUUGUGUCAGCCGUCAAAAGCUUAGAGCAACAAAAAAUAGAACUACAUUAAUACAGAUCCUAUAAGAUAUACAAGUAUAACAAUAUGUCAUAUGCUUACCUCGUGGCAACAUUAAACCAAUUUGGAGAAACUCAAGUGUAGCUGCUACGCUUAAAAGAAGCUUUCCCAAAAGUUGAUUUUUCGUCCUGUUUUGAAUUUGGAUCGCAAUCCAGCACUACGUCUAUUUCAAGUUGUAACUUUCUCAAGCCUUUGCAGCUCAUAAAGAGAUUUAGAUUGAGAAAGGGACAACCAUGAAUAACCAAGUGUUCCAAUUGUGAUGAGAGAACAAUGUUCAGGUAUUGAGUGCCACAACAGUCCACCAAGGCAAAAUUGACAAGAAUAGGAUAACUGAUAGCAAAAAACUCAGUGGUUCGUACAAAGGUUAUCUUUUGCAGACAAAGGUCUAUUAGAUGCUUGAAAGCAACAAAGGGCUUUGGUGGUUUAAACAAACACUUAUAGAUUUCCAAAUGUGGCAGAGUUGGACAAUUAAGUACACAGGACGACACUUUAUAAGUACAAUUAUCUGGCAUGUAAAGGCAUAAAUCCUUCACACCUUUUCUAGUGACAUAAACCAAUCAUCCAUCAGUAUGUGCAUAUAAAGACGAAUAUAUUGAUUUUACAAGAUGAAACUUCUCAAUAUCUCCAAGAUAUUGUAACAAAAUUGUAUUCACUCUUUCUCUGAAAAAUUGUUGAGUUGUUAAAUACAUCCAAAAGGCCCUGCUCAGCCACAGAUUUAGAAGCCUUGCCUGAAAGUAUCUCCAUUUUUGGACAAAAUACUGGUUUUUGCUGUGUCUUCAACAGGGUGAAGCUCUACGAUACGAUGCAUAACAUUUCCUGGCAGUUUACUGAUCCUAUCUUCUCUUUCCCCUCCACCAACAACUGUUUAAGCAUCUGCGAGGAGAAUGAAUAAUUUUAUGGCAUGUUUGGUUAAAUGUAUUGGAAAAAAUAAUCACAUACUAGAGAGUACAUUUAUUGUGAAAAUUUAGUUAUACAUGGAUAACAUAUUUAACAUGACGAUAAUUUUUCUAAAUGCAUUCAUGUUUUUCAUAUAUUGCCAAAUAAAAUAAAAUAUCAUUGCAUCCACCACACGAGAACACAUCUGAUCUAUAUACAAUAAUGCCAAGACUUUUAUGAAAAAACAAGUCACAUAAAUGUUGUCUCAAACAUGUUAUUUUUUGUAAAAAACUAACACUUGUAUGGUUAUUAUUUGUAAAUCCGCUAAAAACUUGUUUUAGUUGCUAUUUUAAGCAUUUUCAUUGCAAAACUCACAUUAGUUUCUUGAAUCAAUUAAAGUACAACAUAAAAGAUAUACAAAGGCAUAAAUAGUAUAGAUAUUAUUUUACCAUCAUGGAUCUCGAUAAAAAGAAAGGUUUCAUUUUAAUUAGAAACUAAACCUUAAUGCAAUUGAAAGAACAUAAAUACCGGAAAUCAAUUACUUCAUGUUGGUGUCAUCACCUGCCUAAAUUGACUUCCAUUAGUUGCAUCUUUGUGCCAAAGUAUUUAAUUUUUUGAAGACUUAAUGUCGUUCAUUAUUUAUGAUUCUUAUUUCUCGCUUGAUGUUCAUAGCACAAAAAUGAAAACCCUACAAUUUUAAUGUGAAACAAAUUUGUAGACGUAUAUCACUCAGUUUGUUAUUAGAGAGUCAUACUGAUAACGUAUUAUAAAAUCAAGAACAGUUCACCCAAAGAUUACAAAAGUUAAGGUGUACAUAUAUAAGUUAAUAUUCAUUAAUAGGACAUUCACCAGAUGCAUUGGAUUCAUAUAACACCAAGCACAUUUUCACCUAUUAUUUUUCUUUAUAUUAAUUUUCAAAUGCCCUUUUUCAAUUCUAAUUUUUCUUUUCUCUUCAAAUAUCAUCAAAUUCAUGCCCAAAAGCCCAAAAGAGGAAGAAGAGAGAAUGACAUAUACCUGGAGUCAUGCUAAUUCUUGAUGUUUGCAAAAGUUGUAUAUCCUUUUAUUGAAUUUGAUUUCUCUCUCUCUUUCCUUUUCUUGACACACAAAAAGUAUAAGAUGAUCCAAUGUAGAGUGGAUUUAUUUGACUUUUUUGGUCCAACAACCUAUAUCUAUAUAUAAUAAUAAAAAUCUAAACAUAUACAAGAUGGUGUGACACUUUCCUAUGGCCAAUAAUAUUAUUUCUUUUUUUUAAUCAUUUUUAAUUUUUUCUUCCUAAUAUGAUGUCUACAAAAUUUGUUAAAUUUUUGUUUCAAAUAUUUCUUGUUUAUUCCAUUCCUUAUUAUACAAGGUGAUGUGGCACAUCUUUAUAGCCAAUAUUACUAUUUAUUUUUUUUCUCAUUUUUUGGACUUCUUUCCUUAUAUGAUAUCUAGAAAAGCUGUUUAAAACACCUUAUUAUCAAGAAUAUCAUUUAUUUUCUUAUUAAGAGUAUCCUUUACUCAUUUCUCUAUUAAGAAUUUCAUUUAUUUACUUUACAUCCGCGAUCUUUCUCCACUCUCGAUGAGUAUCAAUAUACGGAUAUAUAUAUAUAUAUAUAUAUAUAUAUAAAGAGAGAGAGAGAGAGAGAGAGAUAGAGAGACGUGACACUUUUUUACAACCAUCAUUGUUAUUUAUCUUUUUCUCACUUUUGAAUUUCUUUUCCUUAUAUAAUGUCUAGAAAAUUUGUUAAAAAAUUUAAAUACACCCUAUUUAUUUUAUUCCUUAUCAUUAAGAAUAUUUUAUUUCCUUAUUAAGAUAAUUAAUUAUUUAUUUUCUUGAUAUAAAUAUCAUUUACUUCCUUACACUCACGUUCUUUCGCCACUCCUAAUGUGUAUCAAUAUUUAGAGUAUGUUUGACAUUGUUGUUGGAAGGCCAAUAACACUUCUUUUGGAAAAUAAGAUGUUCGACAAAUCAAUAAAACUACUUUUAAGUGGAACCGGAACCAACUUCUCUUGUCAUAUCACAUUUCUUGUUAUUUGGUUUUUAAUAAUGAAAUGACCUUUUUGUCCUUUUCUGCAGUGUUUCAUGCUUAGUUUGUAUUUCAGGAAUGUUUGAUGUGGUUCCCGAUUCGAUCAAGUGUCUUUUUGGUGAUUUGACCCCUCUUGAGUUGAGAAUUCAUGAUAGGGUUGACCUCGACCAACAUUUUGAGUUACGAGCGUCAGAUAGGAAUUUCGUUACUAACAUCACGUAGAAACGUCGAGUUUGAGUUAGUAGGAUUGUCACGACCCGAGCCUACACCUUGGAUGUGGUGUCACGAUCCAAAUUCACAAGUCGUGAUGACACCUAUGUUCCCAACCAAUAGAUAAGUCAACCCAACAUAUUUUACCAAUUUAAAUGAACUAAUAAUGUAAAAGGUAAACAACAAGUAAAAAUAUCCAACAUUAAGUUCUUUAUAAAUACAAAAUGUGGAAGCUAAAUAUACCACCCAAGCAUUGGUGUCAUAAGUACAAGAGCUUCUAAAUAUGAUACAAACUAAUAGCAAACCUAAACAUAAGAUAAACUGAAAAGGGCCUAAAAUACCCUUGAAGUAUCAUAAAUGGUACAAAAUCACCUUCCAUCCACCUAUUGACUCCAAAAUACCCUUUUCAUCCACCUAUUGACUCUAAAAUACCCUUCACAUCCACCUUCAGGCUCAAAAUUAACCACUUAUUUAACGAUUUUAAAUUUAAACUAUUUAAAUAUAUUUUAAUACACGGUGCUUAACUAUUUGUUAUAAUUUAACUUAUUAAUAUAAUUUGGUAACCAUUUUACUACCCAACCAUUACUAAUUAGACCAUACACAAUUAAUAAAUUCGUCCCAUUAUUAAUAUACAACAGGAAAAUUAAUACCAAUGAAUGUUUCUAAGAAUUUAAGGCGAAAAUGUCUAUAAAAGUAUAUUACCUUACAUUCAAGUCGUCAAUCAACACAUAAUAUAAUUAAAAUGUCCAAAUAAAAAUUACCGAUAAUCAUAAAAGUCUACUAUGUUCAUCUUAAUUAUUCUCUCGCCUCAAUUAUGUAAUGUUACUUAAUAGUAAUUUUUUUUAAAAUAAUAUAUUAAUGUUUUAAUAUUUAAAACAAAUAAUAAAUAUUUAUAAAAUUAUAUUUUUAAAAGUGCAUAAAUUAAUUUGAGAAGUUCAACUUCUUUACCUUUAAUCAUAAAUUUUGAAUUCAAGCUUGAAACAUAAUCCUAUUGAAAGUGUCCUCCUAAAUAAGCGGCUCAACCUAAAUUUAAUUGGGGAUUCAAUUUGGACUCAAAUAAUUUUGAAUUUCAUUUUCAUGAAUCGGUAAUUGUCAUGCUUUAGUAAUGUUUAAGGCGAUUUUGAUAUUAGAAAUGGUAUAUUAAUUGGUGGAUCUUGAUUAGUAAUGGGUGGGUAGUGGGUUGAUUUAUAAAUGAUAUUAAUAAAUUAAAUUAUAUCCAAUAAUUGAGCGCCAAAUAUUUUUAAAAAUAUUUAAAUAGUUUAAAUAUGAACUCGUUAAAUAAAUGACCAAUUUUGAACCCAAAGGUGGAUGACAAGGGUAUUUUUGAGCCAAUAGGUGGGUGGAAAGGGUAUUUUGGAGCCAAUAGAUGGAUGAAGGGUAGUUUUGUACCAUUUCCAAUACUUCAAGGAUAUUUUAGGCCCUUUUCCGUAAGAUAAAUCUUGUCUGAAUGCUAAAACAACAGAAUAAAUAAAAGAUAUACGUGUACCUAGUAUAUCACAUAGACUUACAACAAAGAAGUAGUGACGAGAAUUUAUAUAAUAAAAAAACAAUUCUUUACUUAUACAAGUCUGUAUUACACUUACCAGUCAAGUUUCAUCAAUAAAGAAUCAAACUUCACGUAAUGUGUAACCACCAAUAAAACACAUAAUCAACAAGAAUAAACAAUAUAAUGAGAUGCAAUGCAAUGUGACACCAUGAAAUGCUAUGCCUCAGAUGCCAAGUAGUAUCUCACCAUAUAUACAUGAUACUCCUCGGAAUUACAUCGAGAGUUCAUGAUCCAUGGGGGACUUGCGAGGUCCAUAUACGGACACGGACGAUCUCCACAUGUCUAUGCAGAUGAACUCAACGCACUAUCAUAAAAUCAAAUAACUUUCGCACGGACGGUCUCCACGUGCCCAAAUUAUAAUCUUAACAUCUCACUAUCCUCAGUACGGACAAUCUCCACGUGCUCGACUUAUACUCGACCUCAUGCCAAUGCAUGUGCACAAUAUGAUUUCACAUAAAGGGGAUAAUGGUGCAUGUUAAUUAAUCAAAUAUCAACAUAAUACAUAACCCCCUCAACUAUCACAACUAUACGAGUUCAAAUAAGAACACAAUCACACAUAAUAAAGUAGUCAUAUAUCAGCUAAUGCCCAUAUUCUUUGGCUUUCUCGAUUACAAUCCGCAUACUAUUGUUAUAAAUUUUCCCUUAAUAACAUGGUACUCGUACCAAUGCCCGUCGCACCAUUGAUACGAGACCCCGCAUCUUUCGCCUAACCCAUUGUCUAUUCCACUUUUAGUCUUUUAAUUAGGAAAACGUUCUCCAACGAAGUCUGAAAGUGUUAACAUACCUUAAAUGCAAAACCCCUUCCAUAAUUCUCAAGAUUUUUUCUUCCCCUUUCGCAAUGUUUCGGAACGUUCCCCAUCUACCAAUUAUGCAAUAUUCAUAAGUAACCAAAUUUGAUAGGCACUCAUAUUACUUUACUUCUAACCUAACAAAAACUCAUCACGUUGCUAUAAUCAAGCUCCUAAUUUCGUGCUUAUUAAUAUGUCACAUCUUGUAUUCCUAAAUUUUAAGUCUACGGUUAAGUCUAAAUUUAUAAAAUAUACCUUAUUCGUAUGUAAAAGGAUUCACAACACAUCCCAUUAUAUAACCCGAAUAUUCACUAUUUUUUUUAUCAAAGAAGUAAUUAUUCAAAAUAAUAAUUAUAAUACUAAAAGUAACAAUGGAUCUAAAAGCUGCUCACUGUUUCUGUACCAGCACUUUUUGUAUUAUUGCUAAGCUAACAACAUAUUCACUUUUUUUUAGUAUAAUGCUCAUUUAUAAAAAAUUUCUGUUGUAAUAAAACUCAAAUUCACAUAUAAGUUGAUCUGUGAAUGGCUUAGCAUAUUUGAACUUUGAAAUGAAGACAUCGACUAUGGAAUAAACACUAAAAAAAAUAUUAAAGUAUAUGCCUAAAUCUAUUGGACCAUCUCACACCAACAUUAAUGUUAAACAACUUCGGAGCAAUUAAUUUAUUUACAGAAUUUUAAUCCACAUGCAUUAUCCCACUCAAAUGAUUACAGUAGGAAUUAUCUCAUGACUAACCAUUAUUAAUGGUAUAAAGAUUCUCACUAUAGUCAAAAAGAGUUUCAUAAAAAUCGAUAAUUUCCAACUAAAAUAGCAUUCCAAUUCCCUCCCAUUAAAUAGCAAUAAAAUUAAAGUAUACCCAGUAACCCACUAUUCACAACUCCUCCUAUUUAAACCAAUUGUUGAGAUAUUUAAUGAUUAAUAUUACUACAACAGUCAAUUGAAUGUGGUCGAUUGAGAUUAAGUUAUUGCCAUUUGAAGUGAUUCAAAACUUAAAAAAAUUAAGGAAUGACUAAAAUGAAUUAUCUUUUAUUCUUAGAGCUGUCAAAUGGGCUAGCCCACCCAAUCCGAGCUAAUCCAUAUAGACUUUGACAUUUUAUAGGUCAGGCUGAGCUAGCCCAAUUUUGCGUGGGCCAGAAAAUAGUAGACCCAACCCACAAGUACGUGGGCUACAGGUUUGACGCGCCAGCCCACUUUUCUUAAAAAAAAAUAUUUUUUAUAAUUAUUAAAUUAAAUUUUAAAUUAUAAUUUGAAAUAUUAUCAUAAAUAUCGACAAAACAAUAUCGCAUGAUGUUAAUGUUAGUACUUAUUAAUCAAAUCAAAAUAAAAUUAUUUUUUAAAUAUUUAUUAGGAUAAUUUCAGAGACCUCAAUGUUCGCUUUAUAACACUCACCUCCCCUUUGGUUUACGAUAUUACGUCUACCUCCAUUGUUUUUAUUUACUUGUAACCAUUAAUUAAACCUAUUUAAAAUAAAUAUAAAUUAAUAUAGAUUUGACAAUUUUACUCUUUUUUAUAUAAAUUUCUUCUUAUUAAAUAAAUAUUAUAUAAAAAAAAAACUCAUUUACACAAUACUUUAAAAAUAAAUUAACACAAAGACUUGUUUUUUUAAUCCAACAAAGAUCAAAAUCUUCAACUAAGCUGACCCACAUUUUCACCAAAUAUCAACUCCUUAUCGCUAUUUAACCUUUACCAAUUCAUGUAAAUUUCCCCCCCCCCCCCCCACAAUAACCCAUCAUUUUCCGGCAAUAAUUUCUUCAAAUAGAAGACAAAAUUGGACUUCCUAAGAAAGAAAUUCGAUAAGAAUGAUAAGAUUUUGUUUUAGUUAAACAUUUGCACAAGCGAAGAAGAAACAUGAUCCAAUGAAUUAAGAUAAAUAAUUGAAAAUUAGACCUAAACAUUCAUAAAUAAGGGUAAAUUUAUCAAAUCUAAAUUAAUUUAUAUUUAUUUAAAUAGGUUUAAAGAAUGUUUACAAGAAAAUGAAAAUAAGGGAGGUAGACGUAAUAUCGUAAACUACAGGGAGGGUGAGUGUUAUAGAGCGAAGCCUAGAGGGAGGUCUUUGAAAUUAUCUCUAUUUAUUAGGUUUUUUUCAAGUUAAAGUAUAAAUAUAUAAAUAAAAAUAUUAACCUAAUUAUUUUGAAUUUUAACUCUCUUUAAUUUUAAAUUUUCAUAUUAUAUUAUAUUUUUUAUGUAAUAAGUAUUGGCCUAGGGGCCGGCCCUACCUAUAAUUCUCAAGCCCAUCAAAUCAACAGGCUUAUUCAGGCCGGACUAAAAAGCCCUUUUCUUAUAUGGGCUCCAAAAAUCUUAGCCAAAUCCUAUUAAAUCCCGGGAUAGGCCAGGACAACCCAACAGACCUAGCCCAUAUUGACGGUUCUAUUAAUUCUUUUUGAAAUUCAAGAUGCUAUAUCUAGUGACCUGACAUUAAUAAUUAAGAAAUUUUAAAUUCCUUGGUUAAGUCCUACUCACAAUGAAGGAUGAAUUAAGUCUUAGUUCAAAAAUCUUUUGGGGUGUUAUAAUAUCUUCCCCUUGGGAUCAUUCAUCCUCGAAUGACGGCUGGACUGGGUAUGGAACAAGAGAACUGUUAUCGUCUCUGCAAUACCAACUAGAGUUUGCCUGCAUUACUAUUCGAAACCAUCCAAGGGAUCUCAUAUAUCUAUUUCUCAUAGUAACCUCAUUAUCUUCUUCCUACUCAUUUAUAACUUUAGACAUAAGUAUCACACCAAAAGAAUAGGCAGGGAGGUGUAAUGGGGUAAUAGAGAUCAAUCUUCUUCAGCAGCUCUGCCAAAUAGAGUUGUACCUAGAGGAGUCACUUUAGGGACAUAGUAAAGAGAAAAUCGUCUUUGUGUUAUCACCAGUCUCCAAGAGCAAGAGAAUUCACCAAAUGAUGUCACUAGUAUGGUAAAAGUCUUUAAUUUUGAUGUAUUUGCACUGCUAGAUCAAACUGCGAGUUUUUAUUUUUUGACUCCUUAUGUUGUGAUGAGGUUUGAUAUUAUUCCCAAACAACUUCUUGAACCUUUUAAUGUUUCUACACCUAUUGGUGAAUCUAUUCUAGUUGAGAGAGUUUAUCAUGAUUGUACCAUAUCUAUCAAUCUCAAGGACACUAUAGCUGACUUAGUUGAGUUAGCCAUGGUAGAUUUGGAUAUUAUUCUAGGUAUGGACUAACUGUAUGCUUGUUAUGCCUCAGUUGAUAGUAGAACUCAAGUAGUUAAGUUCUAGUUUCCUAUUGAUGCUAUAGAGUGGAGGAGUAGUUCAAUAAUUCCAAAGGUCAUUUUAUUUGGUUCCUUAAGGCGAGAAAGUUAGUUUCCGAGGAGUACAUCUAUCACUUAGUCCGAAAUAAUGACUCUAGUGUUGAGACACCACAUAUUCAUUCACUUGUAGUUGUGAGUUAGAUUCUAGACGUCUUUCCAAAUGAUCUUUUUGAAGUCCCUCCUAAGAGAUAAAUGAACUUUGGUAAAUAUAUUCUUCCUGAUACUCAUCCCAUCUCUAUUCCGCCAUAUAGAAUGGAUCCAACUAAGUUGAAAAAGUUAAAAAAGUAGUUAAAAGACUUUUUGAGAAAGGUUUCAUUUGAUUGUCUCAUGUUAAGGAGCUCCAGUCUCAUUUGUGAGAAGAAAGAUGGUUCUCUUAGAAUGUAUAUUGAUUACCGACAAUAGAACAAGGUUACUAUAAAGAAUAAGUAUCCUAUUUGAGAAUUGAUGAUGUUUUUAAUGAGCUCUAGGGUGUACUUGUUUUUUUACGGUAGGUAUCAGAUUAGGCUAUCAUCGGUUGAGUGUAAGCGAGAAUGAUAUUCCAAAGACAACUUUUGGUUUGAUGAAUGUUACUGCACCGUUCAUGGGUCUUAUGAACAUAGUGUUUAAGCCCCAUCAUGAUAUGUUUGUUAUCAUUUUCAUUGAUGACAUUCUUAUUUAUCAAAAAAUGAGAAGGAUUAUGCUAGUAAUUUCAGAUUUGUUCUCCAAUCUCUCCGAGAUAGAGAGUUGUAUGUCAAAUUUUAUAAGUGUGAGUUUUGGCUUGAGCUAGUGGUAUUCUUGGGCCACAUCUUUUCUGGUGAUGGGAUUCGAGUUGACUCUCAGAAGAUUGAAGCACUGUAGAACUGGCCUAGACCCACAUCUCCAAUUGAUAUUAAGAGUUUCUUCGAAUUGGCUGGUUACUAUAAGAGGUUAGUCGAGGGGUUUUAAUCUAUUCCAUACCCGUUGACUAACCUGACUUUGAUAAAAGUUAAGUUUUAAUGGUCUGAAGCUCAUGAGAAAAGCUCCCAAGAAUUAAAGACUAGGUUGACUACUGCCCAGUGUUAACCUUACCAGAAGGCACGCAAGGUUUUGUUGCUUAUUGUGAUGCGUUCAGAGUUGGAAUGGGUUGUUCACUGAUGCAAAAUGGAAAAGUAAUAACUUAUGCUUCCAGACAGCUUAAGAUUCACGAGAAGAAUUACCCAUACCAUGAUCUAAAGUUUGUUGUUGUAGUGUUCACUUUGAAAAUAUGGUGUCACUAUUUUAAUGGUGUUUGUAUAGAUGUGUUCACCAAUCAGAAGAUCCCUCAUAAUGUAUUCCGUCAGAAAGAGAUUAAUCUAAUACAUAUCAGGUGGUUUGAGUUACUCAAGGAUUAUGACAUGAGUAUUCUAUAUCAGUCAAGUAAGGCUAAUGUUGUCAUUGAUGCUUUGAACAUAUUUUCUAUGGGUAGUACCAUCCAUUUUGAGGAACGCAAUAAAUAAUUAGUCAAAGAUGUGUACAUAUUUGCAUGACUAGGAGUCCAGUUAAUGGAUUAUAAUAAAGGAGGAAUGAUGCUGAUAAAUGGGGAUAAAUCAUCAUUAAUGUACGAAAUGAAAAAGAAAUAAGACCAAGACCUAAGUUUGCUUGAAUUGAAGGUAAAUGUUCAUAAUAAUAAAGUGAUGGCUUUUGAACAAGGGAAAAUAGAGUGUUGAAGUAUCAAGGUAAAUUGUAUGUACCAAAGGCACAUGAACUACAAGACAUGAUCAUGAAGGAAGCUCAGAGCUCCAAAUAUUAUAUUCAUCUUGGGUCCACAAAGAUGUAUCGUCACUUAAGAGAAGUCUAUUGGUGGAGUAGUAUGAAGAGGAUAUUUAAGAGUUCAUUGAUAAGUGCCUGAAUUUCCAAAAAUUCAAGGUAGAGCACUAAAGGUCCAGUGAUAUUGCUCAGAAUAUAAAUCUUCUAAAAUGGAAGUGGGAGCCGAUCAAUAUGGAUUUUAUUACUGGUUUACUAUGGUCUUCCAGGCAACAUGAUUCUAUUUGAGUGAUUGUAGAUCGAAUGACUAAAUAGUAACACCUCGGCUCUCAAAACGAAGAAAAUUCUACUUUUUAAAAAAUCUCGUGACAGUACCAACGGAACCAUCCACGGAUCAUAGGUAGGACCACUAAUCAUAGGUGGGGUUCCGUCAUUAAUGACUAAAACCUUAUAGUCUCUGAUUCCACCACGGUCUACCAAUAUGGUCUAUGGUAGGACCUAAGGACCGUAGGUCUGACUGUAGGUGAGGGUGAACAACCACUUAGAGGGAAUUUGUUAUUAGUCAAACUUCAAACUAUCAUAACUCUUAGCACAAAAAGACUUAGGAAGAAAAUAACCUAUCAAAUGAAAUACAAAAUGAAUCUUUUUACCAACGCCGUCGAGUUUGAUAAAAUUUCAUCUCUGUGUAAAAGUUAUUCUCAUUUUAGUGAAGCCCUAUUGAGCAAACUUCACUGACGGCCCUUACCUAUGGUUGGUAAUUCAACCCAUGGACCAUAGGUACAUCUGUUGGUGGCCUUCGACAUAAUUAAGUCAGUCAUUUUAGUCAUUUCGUUUAUGUUUUGGUCACUUAAACUACAUCUUUUUAUCCUUAAACAACGUAGUUUUGGUCAGUUAAAGCCUAGUAACAUAGUCAGAUCUUUUGCUAAGUGAUGCCUUCACUAAAUAUUCAUCAAACCUAGAACAAAAGAGGAGAAAAGUGUCACCCUAAACCCUUCCAAAUGUAGAAGAUAUUCUUCAGUACCAGCCCCGAGAUCGGAAGAUUUCUUUGUGAAUUUUGUCACCAGGUUUGUGGAAUUUCAGUAGUAGGUUCCUUUCAUCCACUAGGUCUCUAGAAUUCAGUCAGAUUCUGAAUUCCUAUAUACUUUUUAGACCUUGGGUUUCUAAAACCUUAGAGAUUGAUUGUUAUUAGCUGUUAAAGAAGUUCUAAUGGAAUUAUCAUGUUCUUGUGGAAUCAUUGCUUAGUUCUUUGCAUGAAACAUAGAAUCCUAGUUGUGUCGAUUAGUUAGUUCAUGAAUUAUACUAGAUAGGUCAGUUAAAUAGAUAUUUAUGCCUCAGAUUUUGAAUGUUUCAUUUCCAGUACAUUAAUGUUGCAUUGUUAUUUUAGCUUGUUCGAAUAUCGAGCUAUCUAGUAUUCAUUUCUGUUGUGUUAUAUAUAUUUCAAGUUGGGAGUAAGCUUACGACCGAGUUGGAAUAGGGUUCACCAUAUCCUCAUAACCCUAGAACUACAUGCCCAAAGGAGCCUAAGUCCUCUCGUUGGGUAACAAAAUUAGUGAUCACGCCAGUCAUGACUUUAUACCCCAUGCAAGGUAUAUUGGAUCCACUAGAUGAGACAUAUACAUCGUACACCAAAGUUAGGUAGUGUGGUGGUUAUGUUGGUUAAUAGUAUCUCCCAUAGUCACUCUCUAGUGCAUUCACCUAGGUUUUCAGUUUUACUUCAGUAUUAAGUCUCAUAAUGCCACCUACUUAGUCAUUGCAUUCAAUUUAGUUUUAUUCAGUAUAUAUAAGUGAUUCCAUUACGUUUAGAUUGCAUCAUUGCUUAGUUAUGCUUUGUUCAACUUUUAUCCUAUCACACAUGCUCAGUAUCUUUCAAUUACUUACUCACGUUCUGCGCUUUAUCUUUUCAUGAUUUAGGUUUAGGUCUUCUACAUACUCUACGCUACAUCUCCAAAACAAAGUUAUUUUUAUAUCUUUACAUACAAACUGAGUUAUUAUUGUAUUUUAAAUACAUUGAGUUGUUUUCUAUCGUUUUGAAAACUUUUUUUAUAUUGCAUCUCUAUUGUUGCUUUUUAUACUGAAAUAAGUUGAGUUGACGUGAGUUUGGUUUCCUUUUUAUCAGUUUAAGCUUGCAGGUUAUGUUUAGUGUUUCCCUUUUAUGCUCAUUUAUUCCAUGAACUGACAUCAUUUUACCUAUAUUCUUUAUGUACAGAUAUGGAUAACCAGGAUCAUCAACCAGUGGUUCGUUGAUCCAUUCAAGUUCCAGAUUAUGCUUGGUAAGCCUCCUUGCUUCCAAAGGAUUUCCAUUUACUUUUCAGUUUAGUUAGGAUGUUGCGGGUCUUGUAUCGACUUCCAUCAUAUCUAUUAGAGGCUUCAUAUAUAGUUCAUGAGUCUUUUCCAUUUCUUUGUUAAAUGCUUAAAAGACUUAAGUUGCCUAUUUCGGUCUAGUUGAGUACUCUAUUAUAUUCUGUGUUUGUUGUUUGAGACAUUUAAGUUAACAUUGUGUUUUUGAGUUUAUCGUACGUCGCUUAAGUCUGAUGCUAAGACUUGAGCAAGACCAAGGGUUCGCUUGGGUCCAACAAUGUUUCUCGAGUGUCGGCCACGUCCAGGAUGUAGGCACGGGGCAUUACAUAUUUGACUUCAGUGCAUUGUUAGAAUGUAGUUGAUGACAUGAAUUGCAUUGUUUUUCCAUUCACAGUUUUUUAGUAUGGUCUCCACUCAUGUAUUGGCAUAGUUACCACUCAUAAUGAGAUUUUAUUUCAUGAAAUUUUAUUCUGAAUUGGUUUUCACGAGAGUGAGUCAUACUACGUGGAUCACUUGAUUUACUAGUUUUUGAGAUUACGAAAGCGUUACAGAUGUACUUCUUUACUACUUUAAAUAUUGAAGGAAUCUGGAACGUAAUUAGUUUAACUUUACCACCCUGUAUGUCGAUUCCCUUUCUUGCAUGAUUUGUUAUACUUAUGCCCCUAGGUUUACUCUUUCUAGUUGGGCAGCUAACGCCCCAGGUAGUUUAGUGUCUGACUGGGCAACCUUGAUUUGUUAUACUUAUGCCCCCCAAUUCUCUCUUGUUAGUUAGAUGGCUUACACCCCAGACAAUUUACUGUACGGUUGAGAGGCCUUGAUUUGUUAUAUUUACACUCCUGAGUUUACUCUUGCUAGGUAGGUGACUUACACCCCUAGAGUUUCCUGUCUUCUAGAAAGCCCAUUUAUGGGAUUUCUUGUAGUAAAAGUUUAUGGAUGGUCUUACUACCCACCCUGCAUUCAUAUGAAUCACCUGUCACUUAUAUAGUUGUUUGUUAGUUUGUACCCUUCUUUUUAUAGACGUGGGUUGGGUUAUGGUCAUUGUUGUGCCUUGUGGGCUUAUGGGGUCUGCUUAGGUUAUUCUUUGACUUUAUAAUGUUCUCGUUUAUUGUUUUCUUGUUAGACAAUAGGUUUUGACUUCAAAAUUGUGGGUGGGGGUCCUCCUGGCCUUAGAUAGGGCUUGGUAUCUUAGUUACUUGCAAAUAUAUGUUGUCUUGCAUUCUAGGUACGUUGUUGACUUGGCAUCAUAGUUGUUUGUGCAUAUAAAGUGUCUGAGCAUAUUCUAAAGUGGUUUAUACAUGUUAAAUUGUGUUAGGAUUUGGAUUUAUAUUAUGAUAAUCGAGAAAAGACAUAAAGUGACACCUAAAGUUGUCUCGAAUUUUUAAAAAGACACCUUGACUAUGCAAAUAUCCUAUUGGCCCCUAAACUAUUCCAAACAUAUAUUAUUACAUCAUUUUCGAAUCAAUUCCAGAUUUUAAAGGGCAAGUGUAAUCACACACCAAUUAUUGUGUGACACGUGUUAAUUCAAUUUGAAAUAUUUUUUUUAAAUAUUAAGUUUUUCUUUAUUUAUUUCUUUUACUUUUUGACUUAUUUUAGUUUUAUUAUUUUUAUUUCAAUUUUUAAUUCAUCUUCCACCCCAACUUUCAAACUCCCUCUAUUUUCUUUCUUUAUUUCUUUUUCUUUGCCUCUCAUCCUCACCCAACCCCACAUCCAUAUCAAGUUGAGCUCCUCCAUUUUCUUUCUCUUUUCUUCUUCUCAUUUGGUCACAUUUCUUACUUUCCAAAAUUAUACUAUUUUCUAGACUUUGUUGAGUUAUUGAUAGCCAAAGUAAUUAUUUUUCUAAGAAAGAUCAAAAUUUUGAAGGUAUCAUCAAUCAAUUUAUCUUAAUUCCAUACAAAAUUCAAAAGGGAUAAUGCCCAAGUACCCCCUCAACCUAUUCCCGAAAUCUCAGAGACACACUUAUACUAUUUUAAGGUCCUAUUACUCCCCUGAACUUAUUUUAUUAAUUAUAUUUUACCCCUUUUCCACCUACGUGGCACUAUCUUGGGGGCCCAACGAUGGUUGACUUUUUUUUUUCAAACUAGGGCCACGUAGGCUGAAAAGGGGUAGAAAAUUACUUAUAAAAUAAGUUUAGGGAGGUAAUAGGACCUUAGUAUAGUAUAAGUGUGUCUCUGGGAUUUCGUGCAUAGGUUAAGGGGUACUUGUGCAUUUUCACAAUUCAAAACUAGAAAUGAUAAUUUUGAAAGCAUAAGAAUUAUCAAAAAAUUGAAAAAGUUCGAUUCGAAUUUGGAUAAAAAACUAAAUAAUUCUACUAAUCAUCUUGAAAUCUAAGGAGUUUAUCACAUUGUUCGAAAUGUAUUGAAAUAUCUAGAUAUAAUUUUAAAAUUAAAGAGAGUUAAACUAAUAGUAGAAUAAAAUAGCGAUGGGGUUGUGGUAAAAAGUGACAGUGAAAGUGAUAACUUAAUGAAGAUGACAAUGAGUUUUUGAAGAAGAAGGAAGAUAGAAAAAGAAAAAAAUAAUAAGGAGAAAAAGUUAAAAUAAUAAGAAAAAUAAAAAUCUAUAUUUUAUAUUAAAAUUAAUGUAAAAAUAAAAUUAUAUUCGUUUUUUAAUUUGUUCACGCUUUUUAAGAGUGCAUACACUCUCCAUUCCAGGUGGACAAAAAAUGAUGUUAUAAUAUCAGGUCAGGAUUGUUUAGGGGGGUAAUAGGACACUUACAUAGUUGAAGUUUCUUUUUGAAAUAUCGGGACAACUUCAGGUGUUACUUUAUGUCUUUUCUCUAUGAUAAUAUUUAAUUUGUCAUAAGUUAUAAGUAUAUUUUACGAGUUUGCGAAUUCUCUAGAAGAUAAUGAAAUACCUUAAAAUUUAAAUUGAAGUUAAACCUUUCUUGUACAUCAACAUGAGUUAGAAAUUAAAUAUUUUCUUACGGAUAAAUCUGUUAGUGAAAGGUAUUUUAUAAAGCAUUUCUAAAUUAGGAAAUAACAUAAUUGAACAAGAACAAAUUUAGAAAAUAUACAAACUAAAUAAAAAACAAUUACCUUAGAAAUUAUCAUCAAUUUACAGAUUAAAUUACUAAACCAUAUAUCACAAAAGAAUGACACAAUAAAAUUUUUUUCAAUAAUUUAGUAAAAUGAAUUUAACAAAAAUAUUAUGUCAAUGAAACAAAAAAGGAAUUACUAAAAAAAUAUGUCAAUGAAACAAAAAAGGAAUUAAUAAAUAAUAUGUCGUUGAAACAAAAAAGGAAUUUAAUUAAUAAUACGGUUUGUGUCAAAUCCUUCCAAAUAAGGAAUCAUUAUAACUUUUUUUUUGUUAUUUGAGUUAAUUUUCAUCAAACAAUAUGAUGGUUAUAUCUCUAUAAAUACAUCUUAAAAACAAAGUCUCAACAUCUUAUUUUCUUACAUUCUCAAAUCAAAAGUUUAGACAUGAGAAGACCUAAUCACCGUAGAAGAAUUCAAACUGCGAGGAUGCAAAAUCAAACCAGCAGGCAAGCUGUAUUCUCAAUACGACGUUUUGGCCUAUUUAAGAAGGCAAGUGAGCUCUAUUCUUUGUGUAGUGCUGAUGUUUCUAUUGUAGUAUAUUCUCCCAGAAACAAACUAUAUUCAUUUUGGCAUCCUUUCAGCAAGUCAAUUGUGGAGAGAUUUGUCGAAGAGGAUCUUACACCUGGCACUAAUGAUCCUAACCCCAUUAUUAUAGCUCUGCAAAAUGCUAAUGUUGAUUAGAUCAAUAGAAACGUGAACACAUUGGAGAGAGAACUUGCAAAAGAUAAUCUUAGCUUUUCUGGCCUUAAAAACUUGUGUGAGGCCUUAGAAGCUGCGGAUGAAGAAGUUGAAAGAGUAGUGAGCCAACUUUUGGAGGCAGAUGAGGUAUUCCCAUAUCAAACUAUUGGAAGUGCGCUCCCUCCUUUAAUAGUUAGGGAAAACACUUUGUUCGACUUUGGUGAAGGGUCAUAUCAAUUAAGUGAAUAGAUUUUGCUUGCUUUAUUCAAUGUUCAUUGACUUAAUUUAUUAUUUAUAGAGUUAAGUAUGUCAUUUCGAUGAUUAAGUUUUUAAAAUAUAUGAUUUUAAUUUAUCUUUGGGCAUGUUUAUGAUCAUGGAAUGGAAUAAGCUUUUAUUUUGGUACUUCAUUCGUUUAAAUUUCUUUGUCUUAAUUUUUUAAUCGGCUUAAAACAAUGUCUUUUUACAAUACUUGGUUUAUAAUUUUCACAUGUCAUGUUUAAAACAUCAAGAAUGAAGAUAAUUUUGUUAUAUUUCACAUAUCUUUAAUUUAAGACCAUACGAUUCAACAGUUUUCUUUAUUGUUUUAUAUUUUAUGUCAACUAACAAUCAGAUAAAUAAGUUAAAAGAAAGGAAGGAUGUGAUAAUUUGUUUGUUAUUAACAUUGAUAUUGAUGUACAAGUGUGUAAAGCACAAGUAGAAAAUGAUUAUUGAACACGACAUUGUCAAUAGUUUGAAGUGCAACAACUAAUUUAAAAGAAAUGACGUUCUUAUUAUCUGUAUCUAUAUUAACAAAUAACAAACAAUGUCACUUUACUAUGUUUUGGUAAAGUAAGGAUGACCUCCUUAUACUUUUUUUUUUCAUUCGGUGUCCAGAGCCUAUAUUAGAACUCCAGACUAAAUAUGGAUUGUGCUUUGCGGGGUCCUUUCGAAGCUGGUGUUCCCAAAAGGAUUUUUCCACAUCAAGGGCUUGAAUCCAAGACCUCUGGUUUAUGGUGAAACACUUUCAUCAGUGCGCAAAAACCCAUAUCGAUCUCCUUACUUAUACUUAUUCAUAUUGAUAAAUUAUUAUUUUUUUCGUUAAUAAAAUGUCACUAGACGUAUUGUCUAGCGGUAUAUAUUGAUCAAAAAUAAAAUAAAAUAAAAAGAUCAUAAACAAUAUUAACUCAAACAAAGAAUUAAAAGCUCAUCAAAUCUUUAAAUGCCAGCAUCACUCAAAUGAAAUAGCUUUAAUGCAAUAAUAUAUUUUGUUUCAUUAGAUUUCGCAUUGCUCUUUGUUCGCAUUUGAAAAUAAAGGGAAUAUGAUAGUAUUAACUUUCUAAUUAUGUGUUUUAAAAUAUUUUCUUACAUUAUAUUUCUUCACUAAUCAUUUAUUGGGAUGGAUAUCUUAUAUUACUGUUUUUGUUAAAUAGUCAUAAAACCUGAUUUCAACCUGCUAAUUUUAUGAGAUUUAGUGUCUAAAAUAAUGUAAAAUGUAAUCAAUAUUAUACUUUAAUUAUGAACAUCACACUUCGAAUAUUUAUAUUUUUACUAAGUAUAGUCAAUAAGAAUCAUAAAUUUAUAUAAAAGAGAACCUUAUGCUCGCCUAUGUGGCGUCACCAGAAACAAGAAUUCCCUUUAAAAUUUAUUUAUUUCCAAAACUAGCCUUCCCUUUUCAUGAAAAGUUAUGGCUUUUAUGAAAAGUUGUUACUUUUAGGGAAAAUGCACAAUUACCCCCUCAACUUUUGCUCGAAAUUCCACACACACUUAUACUAUACUAGAAUCCUAUUCCCCCUGAACUUAUUUUAGAAGUAAUUUUCUACCCCUUUUCGUCCUACGUGGCACUAACUUGAAAAAAAAGUCAACCAUCAUUGGGCCCACAAGAUAGUGCCACGUAGGCCAAAAAGGGGUAGAAAAAUAUUAAUAAAAUAAGUUCAGGGGGUAAUAGGUCCUUAGUAUAGUAUAAGUGUGUCUUUGAGAUUUCGGACAUAGGUUGAGGGGGUACUUGUGCAUUAUCCCUUACUUUUAUGAAAAGUUGUGACUAUAUGAAAAGUUGUAACUUUUUUGAAGAGUUGUGACAUUUACGAAGAGUUGCAACUUUUAUGAAAAACUAUGAUUUUGUGAACGGUAGUGACCUUUCUGAAGGGUUGUAAGUUUUUUAAAGAGUUGUGUCCUUUCCAAUAAGACACAAUAAAUAUUUGGUCACACUACCCUAUAUUGUCUAUAUAAAUAGAUGAAUUUCUUGCUACUUUAAUCUGUAGGGUGUUUUCCCACUAUAGGGUAGUCAAAUUCAAAUACAUUCUUGAAAGUUUUCAUGGAGCUUAAUCUUUAUUAAGUCAAAGUUAUUCAUCUAACUAUGGUAAUUUUUUUCUUAUUUUGGCGACCUUUUUUUAAAAUAUAUUAAAGUCUCAGCAAGGAUGAUUUAAAAUUGAUCUUCUCUUUUAUCCCUUUCUUCAUGCAUCUACAUAUAAAUAAAACAAGUUGAUUUCAAUUGCAAUGCGACAUUACGACUCUUGAACUUCAUAGUAUACAACUCAUAACGCUGUUGAAAUGGUUGAUAGUUGAAUUCAUACAUUUGGUUCUUAAGUAAAAAAAUCUUCUAUUUCUUUCAUUAUUAUUUGUAUGGUUUUUUGAAUUCAAAUACAUUAAUUAUGCUUCGCAUAAAGUGUUUCUUUUCUCAAAGUUUUCUUCCUCCUAUUUCAUGAAACUGAAAUUUUUAGUAUAAAUCAUAGUUAUUCAUGUACCAAUUGCAAAUUUUUUUUUUUGCUAUUUUGGUGACUUUUUUUUUCAUUAUCUUGAAAAUUUCAAUGAGGAAGAUUGAAAAUUUAUCUUCUCUUUUUUCCCCUUUUACAGAGUUUCUUCAUGUAUCUUUGGGGAAAUUGUUCGUAGGUUGUGCUAUAUUUGAUAGCACACAACAAUAGAUAUUUGAUAACUAAUACCGAACCAACAAUGAAGUGUUUUUAAAAGAACCAAAAUGAUUGCUCUCUUACUUGCUACAGUUAGUUUAUUAUUUAGAUUGUUUUUUCUUAGCUACAAACAUUUUAUAUGUCAUUGCACUAUUGGUAGAAUAUUUCUAUAAAGAAAAUUUGUCCACAUAUUUUACUGCAAUUUAACUAAUUUGUUCAACUUCUUUUUCUCUCUUAUUUUCACCAUACUAAGAGAUCAAGUUUUCGUGAAACUAACAAAUGUCCAAAAUACACUAUAGUAAAAAUAUUUUCUAUCGACAAUAAAUAUGUACAUUCACAAAAAGUACUACAACCUUUAACGACAUAAAUUAAUUUUCAUUGAAUUGAAUGUUGUUAUAGACUUUAGAGAUAUUUAUACAGAGUACCAAUUGCAUGUGAAAAAUAGAUAUUUAAUGAUAAUUAAGCUAUUAAUUAUCAUUAAAGAUCAUAUUUGUUAUUUAUAACUCAUUCUUUUGAUAAUCUUUUUUAAUUUUUGAUUAAGAAGUAAUAACUCUUUCUGGCUUUUUUCAAUUAAAUUUGUGAACUGUAAACUUGGAUACUACCCGAAAGACUAUCUUUUUGAAAAAUAUAUUAAGUAUAUGCGUUUUUCUUCUUGAUUAUUAGGAAAGUGAAGGUCGUCUUUAUUGUUAUUUUUGGAUAUUUGUGUGUUCAAGUGAUCACAAAAUUAUGUUGUGAGAUUUUAAUAUGUUAUGUGUCAAAAUUUUAGUAUAUCCCGUUGAAAACAUUCAGAUGUCACCUAGUACUUGGUUGAUAAUUGCAUUAAAUUUUUGUAACUACAACCUAUAACUAUAACAAUAAAUAUGUUUUACUUCACAUAAGUAGGCGCCAGUGAUAUGAAACCUUAAAAAUAGUAAUGACUAUUUUGAGACAUUGCCAAAAAAAUUUAUGAUAAUAACAAUUUUAGGGUCAUUUUUAGCAUAUACUCGAUAUGUCAUACAAUAAUAAAAAAAAGAUUGAUUGAGGUUCAUAAAAAAGGAGUCCAAGAUCGUCCAUUUGAAUUUAAUUAAUUAUGAUCUUGUAUGGAUGUGAUGUUCCCCUUUACUUGGGAGUGUUGUUUUUCAAUAUUUUCUGGUCUCUUUUUUAACUUCUAAUGUUUUUUUAUGACUUCUUAGAAUUUAUAAUUUUUUAUUACAUCUUACCAACUAUUUAGAGGGAGAUUUUCUUAGACUUCUUACUAAUACUUAAAAUUUAUCUAUGACUCAUUAUUUUGUAUGACAACUUUUUUUUAAAAAAUUAUAGCACUUUAAGAUUUUAAAGAAACACUUUGUCGUAAGAUAAAAUGUUUUUGCCAACUAUGUAUCAAAAUUACAAAUAUUAUCUAAUGAUAAUGUGUAAGCCUAAAAAAAUAGUUUAAUCUCGUGCGAAGCACAGGUAAUUUGCCUAGUAUUUAAUAAGUACAUAUUUUUGUGUAUCUAUUAUUUCAUAUGUAGAAGUCAUCGAUGAUAGAAAUUUUUAGUGAAAGUAAUACAAAUUAUUAACCAUGCAAAUAUCUAAGGAUUAAAAAACAUUAAAUUAAUCCUAUGAUAAGUUUCAAGUUAAAAAGGCCUGAAAUAUGAAAUAGAGUGGGAAUAAUGUCUUCUUUUUUUCAAUAGUUUGUUCAAUAGUUUGUUCAAGGAGUUAAUAAUGUUUUUCUUUCUUGUUUUAUAAUUUAAGUAAACCUGAGAAAUAGUGGUGUUUUUAUACAUUGAGCAAAGGUAAAUAAUAUUGGGAGUAGUACUGAGUACCGAUAUAAGAGAGAGUUUGGACAACUCACAGUCUCCAUAAAUCAUGUCUUACCAACAUGGGUACAUGAACAUACGUUUUAGAUGAAUCCUUAGAGACUUCAGGCAUAGCUUAGUGGAUCCACAUAGUUGAGGUGUCAUAUAUUCUGACACGAUAUAAGAUAAUUUUGGCAGCGCGUGAACAAAACGUUGUACCAUUACUUGACUCAUAGUAAUGGUUGUCAGUUAAAGAAUCUCCCAAUAGAGUUAAAGUGUAUUUUAUGUAUCACUUAUUAUGCUAACGUCCACAGAUUGAGAAAGUAUAUUUGUAGAGUUUUAUGAUUUCACUUCAUUAUUUAUUUACAUUAAGUUGGAUAUAAAUGUACAUAUACUGCAACCCUUUCUUUCAAUACAUACUCGUACAUUCAAUAAAUUGAUUUCGUAAGUACCACAAAGCUAUGAACUUCAAUUAUUUUUCUGCACCUUCUAAAUUUUUUGAGUUAUGCACAUCCAAGGUAUUACACUUGGGGUGAUCGAGAUUGUUUUAAUCGUGGCGAGGUUGUCCACUACGUCAGAGAUUGCCCCAAAUGUAGGGUUGUAGCACCUACGAGUAGAGGAGAUGCUUAGGGACAAGGGUGGUCCCCCAAGUGCUUGAGGAAGUACUCAAGUAGGUAGAGCAGGAGAAAGAGUUGGACUCCACUUUUUUGGAAGAUGUGGGCAUUUUUAUGUGGUUCCUGCUAGGUCGGAUUGUGAGGCUUUAGAUUAAGUGAUUUCAAGUACGAUCUCAAUUUUUUAUUGAUCGAACUUUACUUUAUUUGAUUCCAGAUGUACUUAUUCGUACGUAUAUGUUUAUUUCUCUCCUUGAUUAGAGUUGCAUUUUUGAGCCCUUGUAAAUGUUGCUGCCUGUAUCGACUCUCAUAUUGAUUCUUUAGGAGUGGAUCAGGUUUGUGACAAUUCAUAAGUGCAACACGCAAGCUGACCUUAUUUUUCCUUAUAUGCUUAAUUUUGAUGUUAUUCUGGGCAUAAACCGGUUAUCCUUCUUAUGUGCGGUCCUAGAGUGCUUUGCCAAGACUGUUAUCUUAGUCAUGCCUAGUAUUCCCCCGGUUAUUUAGCUUUUAUUGGUGAUUUUAGCAAGGAGGGACCUAUGACUGAUUUUGUUCCUGUUGUGAGAGAAUUUGUCGAUGUAUUUUCUACUGAUCUACUUGGCGUUCGUCCUGAACGUGAUAUUGAUUUAUUUAUUAACCUUAACUCAAGCACUCAUUCUAUUUCUAUUCUACAGUCUUGUAUAGAACUUCUUAGCUUAAACAACUCAAUAUUCAGCUUCAAGAACUUUUGAGUAAGGGCUUUAUUAGAACGAUUGUCUCACUUUAGGGUGAUCACAUACUGUUUAUGAAGAAGAAGGAUGGGUCUAUGCGUAUGUGAAUCAAUUACAGUCAACAAGAAUCAGUACCAUAUGCCUCAUAUCAAUGACUUGUUUGAUCAACUUCAGGGUGUCAUUGUGUUUUCAAAGAUUGAGUUGAUGACAUGUUAUCAUCAACUAAGAAUUAGGGUAAAGGACAUCCACCUUUAGGUGUUUUAUUUACUGUGAAAAAAGUACUCUCUAGAUUACUAAAUCACCACAUAAGUGAUGAUAACUCAUAAGACCACAUUCAAAUACAACUUGACACUAAUACUUCAUCAAAAAAUUGGGCCAGUGCAUGCACGGUUAACAUCAUCUAGUAAAUGAAACAAAGAUCAAUAGAAAGUUCCGUGAAGGAUGUCAGAGUGAAGAUAGAAUCAGUUACAUGUCAUGCACAUCAAUGACUCUUUAUUUUCCUGUAGUAAGAUAUAAUAUAUUAUUCGGAGUUACCAUUCUAUCAUUUAUUGCAACUAAAAUGCUAUCCCUCAAUAUAUAGUACUAUACAUGAUUCAAGGUAGCCAAUUGUAGGUUAAUUUUUAACUCGUACAGUGUACCACCUUUAGUUGAUCAGCCUUGUUCUAGUAGUAGCAGUGUUCUGUAACAUUUCCAGUUGCUCAUCUCAGAUCAUCUACUCAUCUAAUAUUGAGAAACUCAACUAAUAUAUACAGAGUAAAAAAUGCAACUCUCCUAUCAUGAUGAUCUUUCUUAAGAUUUGAAAUCGUAACAACUUUAUAACAUCAUAAUGAAGGAGUAACACCCUUGGGAUCAAAAUACACAGAGAUUCAGGCCUCUGCAUAAGCACAACAUUACAUUUAAUAGAAGCACUAGAACAUAUCCACGAAACUAGAUUUAUUCUUGUGCAAACAUUUAAUAGUACAUUAUCAAUUUGGCUUUAUUGGCAUUUGAGUAUUUAUUUACUUUUACCAAAAGCAUCCUUAUAAUUUCACUUCAACUCUAGUUACAUUCUUAUAUUAAAUAUUUCACUUAACAUGAAAUAUGCUUGAAAUUUUCAUAAAGUAAGCAGAAAGAUCCUCCUUUAUAUUUUUCAGCCAUUUUUGCGGGAGCUCAUAACACUCCUUUUGCUUUCAUCCCUUUUUAGUGGCAAAAUUCUAUUGUAGGUUCCUCUUAUCUAGUGUUCUUCUCUCACCUCUCGUUUUCCUCCUUCAUAUACAUCACUAAUCAGUCAAAACCCCUAAUGUCUUUUACUUGUGAUUUCUGCAGGACGUAAAUUUUCAAAUUGAGUUUCAACACCUUUUAAUAUUUUAUUUAUGUCUUGUGUUUUUUUAUUUAGUUGAAUAUUAUCUAAUUAUGAAUCGAGUCCUUGAUUAUCCAUGCCUCAAUUGAUUUCUUGUUCUUAAAAAAGGCUGGGGUAAUUAAUCUUGAAACAGAAUCUUCCCUAAACAGUGAUUACUCAAGGAAAAUCAAAGAUGGAUAGCGUAAGGAUAUGGGUGUCCAAAUCAAUGUUGUUCUUGUUUUGCUUCUUUUUGAGAGUAUUCUAAAGUGUUUUAUACAUGUUUAAAUUGUGUUAAGAUUUAUAUUUUCUAUUACGAUAUUCUUUAACUCAUCAUAAGUUACAAGUAUAUUUUAUGAGUUAGCAAAUGUGAGUCGUUUGUAUAAUGGUAAAGGUAUAGAUGGACCACUUUAAUUACAAGGAGCAUAUCAGCUCCAAAUGACAGUUAAGGGGUAUAUCAGACCCUUUUCCCCUUUUUAAUAACCAAGAAAUCCACAUGUGACCCGACGCAUUUUGGGCCAAUCACAUUCUUCUAAGCUCGAUGGAUAAUUGACCCGCCCCUCUACUCUUCUCUAUGUAAAAAUUGGACUUUGCUUUGCAUGGUGUGGGGCUCGAACCUGCGACCUAAUCCACAAAUCCGCCACAUUUUUCCACUCGAGCUAGGCCUUAGGGGUAUGUUUAAACUUUUUUAUACAUUAUUAUGAGUAAGAAGAUAAAUACUUUCGUAUUGUUAAAGCUAAUAGUGGAAAGUUGUUAAUUAAGCAUGUCUACAUUAGAAAAUAUACAUAGUUCAAUAAGAGCAAAUUUAGAAAAUAUACAAAUACAAUAAAAAAAAUUAUCCCAGAAACUGAUUUACUUAUUAACUUUGCUAAAUUUGAACAAAAAUUUAAUUAAUAUGAUGAUUUGGGUCAAAUCCUACCAAUUAAAGAAUAUCAUCAUAAAUAUUUUUACUUUUUUGUUAUUGAAUUCAUUUUUCAUCAAAUAAUAUAGUGGUUCUAUCUUAAUAAAUACAUCUUUAAAACAGAGACUCAACAUCACAUUUUUUACAUUCUCAAAUCAAAAGCUUAGCCAUGAGAAAACCUAAUGGCCGCAAAAAAAUUGAAAUUGCGAAGAUUCAAAAUCAAACCAACUUACAAGUAACAUUCUCAAAAAGACGUACCGGCCUAUUUAAAAAGGCAAGUGAGCUCUCGACUUUGUGUGGUGCUACUGUUGCUAUUGUAGCUUUUUCUCCUAGCAACAAAGUAUACGCAUGUGGACACCCUUCCGUCGAGUCAAUUGUGGAUAAAUUUAUCGGAGAGAAUCCUCCACCUGAAACUGAUGAUCCUAACCCCGUCAUUGUAGCUCAUCAAAAUGUCAAUAUUGAUGAGCUCAAUAAAAAGCUGAACAAGUUGGAGAGAUCACUCGAAAGAGAAAUAAAACAUGGGCAAGCACUUCAAGCAUUGAGGACAGAACCUUCAAAUGAAAAACUUAGUUUUUUUGACCUUAAGAUCUUGUGCGAGUCCUUGGACGCUGCGGAUAAAAAAGUUGAAAAACUAGCAAGCCAACUUAUGGAGUGUGGUAUUGAAUUCCCAUAUAAAACCAUUGGAAGUGCGCUCGCUCCUUUAAGAGCUAGGGAAAGCACUUCGUCCGUUUCCAGCGAAGGGUCAUCUGGAUCCGGUGAAUAAGUUUUUCUUGCUUUAUUUAAAGUUCAAUAACAUAAUUUGGUAUUUAUACAGUUAAGUAUUCCAUAUUGAUGAUUAAGUUUUGAUCUUAAUUUUAUCUUUUAGUAUGUUCGUCAUGAAAUGGAAUAAGCUUUUGUUUUGAUACUUCAUAAAUUUUUUUGUCUUUCUUUUUUGUGGUCCAUUUAAAAAAUAAUGUAUUUUUACAACACUUAGUUUAUAAUUUUUACAUAAUUUAUCCCCUCUGUUUUGGAGAAUAUACCCAACAAUUUAACCUUCAGAUUGCUUCAAGACAAGCACCACUCAUAAACUACAGAAUGCUAUUAUAAGACCAAUGCCAGUUUCUAGGGCGACAAUGAGGGGCCUUCCUUCCCAUGACAAGCACUAUUAUAUAUAUUUAUAAGUGCAUACAAGUUACACUAUAGAAUACACACAAAAAAAUUACAACACACUAAAUAGGGAGAGAUUCACAUAAAAAAAUCACGAUAUGAAAGAUAAACCACCUUAUAAUUAUCACUAACAAUAUCAUACCCUAAACCAUACGCUAGUUUUAGGAGGAAGAGCCCAAAAAACAGGAAAUUUAGGAAAUUGAAUAUAUUCCCUAUCAACCUAGCUACAGAAAUGUAUGAGCAGCUGGAAAUUAAUCUUUAUUGAAAUGCUAUCGAUGAAUUCAUCUUCGAGGAUAAGUAUGAAGUUGGCCACGCUAACUGAGUUUCUAUUCUUGUCUAUGGGCAUGGAGGUCUGAGAGAAAAUUGCGGCAGUGCUUUGAUAGGCAUUAUAUUUAGCUUUACAGGGAGGCGAUAGAAUAUUUCAAUUAUGACUUUUGCAGGUAGCUAUUUAGCUUUGCCUCAUUGCCAUUGUUGAAUUUUCGAGUGUAUUUCAAAGCGUCAAUCUAGUGAAUCUAUGUGCGCUGCAACAUUUUUUUCACAUAUUUGACCUAAAACAAAAUCCUAUAAAAUAAUCUUUAUUUGUAUUUCAUGGCCAAACACAAUUAAAUAUUAUAAUAUUAUUUUUCAUGUUAAAAAAUAAAUUUUUAUUUGAAGAAUAGGGGAAUCGGUGAAAGAGGAAAGUUGAAUAAAUUUGUUGUCAUUAAAAAGGGGGAAAAUAUUAUUUUUGAGUUGAUAUGAAGUUCUGAUAAUGUAGCAAACUUCGAGUUCUAACAAGGAUUUUGUAACAGGCCUUGAUCAAUCAGUUUGCUAUAAAUUGCAAAGGAUUGAGAAAGUUACAACUUGAAAUAGACAAAGUACUGGAUUAUAAUCCAAAUCCAAAACAUGAUGAAAGGUAAACUUUAGAAAAUCUUCUUUUCAGCACCGCAACUACACUUGAGUUUCUCCAAACGGGCUUAAGUUUCCUUGAGGUAAGCAUUUGACAUGUCGUUAUACUUAUAUAUCUUAAAGGAAUUGUUUUCAUGCAAUUCUAAUUUUUGUUGCUCCUAAGCGUUUUGAGUGCUGACACAAUUCCCAAGGGAGCUCCAUUUACGAGCAUGCAAGAGUUUUCAUUAGGAAUAGACUUUGGAAAACUGUGUCAAAUUACUUGUGUUCCACUGUUGAUUGAGAGUUGCCCCAAUUCGAGUAUACUUCAGAUUUUGGUAAGUAGCGGUAAAUUAUGUGGCCAUGAUAUGAGUAUGAUCUCAUUGAUUUUUUCACUCCUUAUAUAUACUGUGACAAUGCUGAUGACACUGUUUUGAAACACCUGGAUAGACCGAUUACCAUCUUGGACCUACAACUGAACUAGCUCAAGUAUGUGUGCCCGCAGCACGACAGAUGUCUGGUGCCCGCAGCAUAAUAGUCGUCUCACAAUGUGUGCUUGAGAGGCUCAUUGCAACGCGAUCAAAUAUCUUACUACUUGUAUGAGCUGGAAUCAUAAUUAGAAGAGUAUUAAUUUAAAAGUGGAUUUUAUGGGGCACACCUUGUUUUUUGUGCUGCAAACUGAAAUCUGCAGUACAAUUGGAACUUAGAAACAGAGAUUUCCUAUGUCUUAAAUGUCAAUAGUGUCCACCAACAAGGCAAUAAUGUGGGGAUUCAAUACUUUUUCAGUAUGAGCGUAUCCAUCUGGUUGUCUUUGUAAAAAUGCGAUUAAGAUGAAGAAUACAAGUGAGAAUAUCUAUAGACAUAGGAGUUGGGCAUAAAAUUCCUUCAGUUCAUUUGCACCAGCAGUUCAAAGCAACCUUUUCUACUUUUCUCAUGAUUUUGUGUUUUAUUAGGUGGAAAGCUGCCAAAUAUGUUGGGCAAGGAAAACAGUUCCUCUGUUUGGUUUGUGCAUGGCUUUUAAAAGCUAUUUAACUCCAUUGGAAGUCGCCCUUCAAAUGUUGUAUCUUUGCUAAAACACUGUAAUCUAAUAUAUUGAUCCUUGCUUCCUAAAUGCAGAUUCUUGAUGCGCCUCUUAGAAACUCUAUAUUGAAGUCCCUAAUGUGUUUGCGUUGACUAGCCUACAGGCAGACUAAGUUUAUUUAACACUCCUUCCGCCUUUAUGAUUUUAUAUUUUUAAAAAAGACCAUAUCUCACAAGUAUGAAUCGUGACUUCUAAAAACACAUUCUCAUUUCCAAUCAAUAAAAGAAAAAUACAGAAUUUGAACAAAAACCAAAAGUGGUGGUUUAAUUGGAGCAGCCCAUCAGGCUUUAUUGGACUUAGGAGGGUACCGACUCGUUAUCCAUCCACUGCAUAGAGCGGGAACUAUUUUUUGCUCUGUGAAACCAUGCUCACGCAGUCCGCUCCACUUUAGGAUCCCAGAAGCCCAUUCUUUCGAUUGAUAGCAAGGCCCAGCUCUAUGCUUGGACAGGGUAGGCAUGAAAUUAGCCCACCAGGCCCAACCAUCUGGAACAGCCCAACAUUCCACCACACUAAUGCCCCAACUUGGGUUACAAGCCCAUAUUACUAAG
rnacentral:lncRNA from 1 species